UCUGGGGAGGUCUAUGAAUUACCUUUCUAGGUUGUGAGAUGUAUGAUUUGUUGGUUAUGGGAAGAUAUGGUGCGGUUCUAUUGGGGUUCAUAGUGGAAGUCGAGCAGGAAGAGUAAUUGGGUGUUGCUCGGUGAUUAGCGUAUCGGUUAUGUCCUUUCAGGUUUGUGUGUUUUAUGUUAUUUCUCUACCGUAGGUAUGAUGAUUUUUCUUUGGUUCCAAACAUCAAAUUGUGCGUGGUUGUCGAUUUCGAGCAUAGUGACUUAAGGCGUUUCAUGUGGAGCAGUGUUGGAUAGGAUCACGCAUUGCAGAGAAGUUAUGUGGAGAUAUGACCUUGCGAGUCAGAUUCGUGUGUUCUAUUCGAUUCUCAGCCUUGUGUUGUGGUGGUACCGAUGAGCUUGAGGUACAACUCUUUCAUUUGAGUCAUUUUCAUGAUUUGAGUAUGUUCGGACCGUUGCUUAUUGGUGCGCGUAUUAUGCUAGUUGUGGCUUAGCCUCUAUUGAUUUGUCAUGUCACCAGAGUGGUGUGUUGGAUUAGAGGAGCUCGUUGGGAUCAUUAAUGAAUACGUACAGAUUCGAUUUCAGCAUGUUGGAAGGAUAAGAUCGAGGUUCAGCUUGGAAAUUUGCUAUGGUAUUUGUCAGAGGAGGAGUGGCUUCAUGAAUGGGUGAACUGAGAAAAUAGUUACGGAUUAUUGUGUGUUUCCUUUAUCGUUUGCAGUAUAUGACAGUGUUGGAAUGAGACUUUAGCUGAUAAGAGGUUUUCUACCAGUAUUUGGUUGUUGUGGGCAGCUGCUGUGAAUAGAAGUUAUCGCUACGAGUGUUUGAGUUAUGUGGUAUAUCAUGAGAUUGAUCCCGAGGUUGCAGGCAUGGGUUAUUACAGCUGGUUUAAGUCUAUUCAGAGUAUAAGUGUGAGGUUUUGAUCGUAUUGAUGGUUUCGGAAGUGGAAAUGUGGUUCUAUGGCUUGUGGGCCAGACUGGAUUGUGUAAUUUCAGUUGCAAUGUGCUAUCAGACCUAUAUGAGAUAGGGUGAUGUGGGAUCACCCCCGGGUAUAUGCAUGGUAAAGUUAUUCAGCUACGGGUUGGCUUUUAGAACAACUCUGGGUACGAUCGAGGACGAACGCGUGUUUAAGUGGGGGGAGGAUGUAACGACCCGACCGGUCGUUUUGAGUUUUUGCACUUUGAUCGCCAGUUCUCGGGCAUGACUUGCCCUGUAUGAUGUAUUAUGACUGAUCUAAAUCGUUGAUUUUGGUUUUCACGGAAAUCGGUAUGAAUUUGAAAGAACAGUCUCAGUUGAAAGCUUUGAAUUUGAAAGAUUUGACCAAGAGUUGACUUAUUUGUAUAUGAGCUCGGAUUGGAAUUUUUAUGAUUUGGUUAGCUUUGUUGGAUGAUUUAUGACUUAGGAGUGUGAUCGGAAUUGGUUUUGGAGGUCUGGAGUAGAACUAGGCUUGAAUUGGCGAAGUUGAGAUUUUGGCGAUUUCCGGUUGGUAGGUGAGAUUUUGAUCCGGGAGUCAGAAUGGAAUUCCGAGAGUUGAUGUAGCUUCGUUAUGUCAUUUUUGAUGUGUGUGCAAAAUUUCAGGCCAUUCAGACGUGGUGUGGUUGGGUUUUUGAUCGAAAGUGUAUUUCAGAAGUUUUUAGAAAACUUAGGCUUGAAUUCGAAGUGAAUUGAUGGAUUUGGUGUUGUUUGAGAUGUUUUGAUGAUUGAAACAAGUUUGAAUGGGAUUUUAGGAUGUGUUGGUACUUUUGGUUGGGGUCCCGGGGGCCUCGGGUAAGUCUCGGGUGGUCAUUCGGAUCAUUUUGAAGUUUGGAAAUUUCAGAAAAAUCUGCUCAGCUGUUGCAAAGAUUUAUCUCUUCGCGUUCGCGAAGAAGGAUUGAGGAAGGCCUGGAGAUUAGCCUUCGCGUUCUCAAGAGAGACUUUGCAUUCGCGGAGGGUUGGACCGGUAGGCACCAGGUUCGCGAGAGACUGGGUCGCGUUCGCAUAGGUUGGCGAAGUAAUGCACCGCGUUCACGAGGUUGAGGACGCAUUCGCGAUGAGUGGGCUGUCUAAGGCAUCGCGUUCAUGUCUGCCAUGUCACGUUCGCGAAGAGUAAAAGAUGGUCAAUACAAUUUUGUGCUACGCGUUUGCCAGAGGUUGACCGCAUUCACGAAGAAAGAAGGGUAAGACCUGGGCAGAAUGUUUUAAGUCGUUUCAUCCACAAUUUUGGGGCUCAUUUCCCCCAUUGUUGAUCAUCUUGAGAGCUUGUUGAAGGAAAUUGAAGAAGGAUUCAAGGGGAAUCACCUAGAGGUAAGAUUUUUGAACUCAAUACUCGAUUAUUAUUGCGAAAUCCACCUAGAAAUUCUUGGAACUAAGCCUAAAAUUGAAGAGCUAGGGCUUGAGAAAAUUGGACUUUUGAUUUAGGAUUUGGAGGACCAUUUGGGGUCGGAUUUGAGAACUUUUGGUUUGUAUGAACUCGUGGGGAUAUAAGGAAUCUAAUGAUGUGAAAAUUUUGAGUUUCGAAAAGUGGGCCCGGAGAUCGAAGUUUGCUAAUUUUGGGAUUUUUGAUAUUUUUCGAUUGUUUUCGCUUGGGCUUUAUUCCCUUAGCAUAUUGUGACGUAUUCGUCCUGCUUUUGGUUAGAUUCGAUGUACGUGGAGGCCAAUUCGAUGGGCAAAGGCAUCGCGAGCUAGAGUAGUAGUCGGUUCGAGGUGAGUAAUGAUUGUAAAUGAUAUCCUGAGACAUUGAAACCCCAGAUUCGCAGAUCGUAGUGCUAUAUUGAGGUGAGACACGCGCUUAAUGAUGAGUGUGGGGUCGUUUUGCUAAUGGGGAUUGUGACUUGGUCCGUCCUGAUUGACGUUUUUACCGCGUAUUUGAUUGAAACUUAUUUGUUAUCAUCAUUAUUUGGACCGAUUGCCAUAUUUGGGCUUCGAGCCAACAAUUUGAACCCUCCGAGGAUUUUUACCACUAUUUUCUCACUGUUUUGAUCUACUACUUGAACUCAGUCGUACUGUUUUCCACUGUUUUUACAACUCAGCCACUUUUACUCGGUUUUGAAACUAAAAUGAUAUAGUAAAUGAUGUUUUGGGCUGAGAACUACUGUUUUUAUUAAUGCUUGAGAGGCUUAUGUGAUUUCUGGACUGAGUAUGGCCGAGGGCCAGAUGUGAGGAUACUAAAGGAUCUAGCUACGCGCCGCAACAGUGUUAUACUGAUACUGAUAUGAGGCUGAGGGCCUAGAUUUUGAUGCUACAAUAUGGCUUGAUAUCGCGCUUGGGUCGUAAGGGGCCCCUCCCAGAGUCUGCACACCCCAAGUUAGCGCCGUCGAUGAGAUAUAUGGAUCGGGCUGCACGCCACAGCGAUAUAUGGAUUGGGCUUCACGCCGUAGCGGUGCUGGUACUGUUCUAUGUGUUUACUUUAUUUCAUUUGUCUGCCAUUAUCUGUUGUUUGUGCUACUUCAUGUGAUAUCUACCUGAUUGCCUGCCAUUAUUUAUUAAUUGAGUGUUGUGCCCGAAGGGCAGAUUUCUGUGCUUAUCUUCACUAUUUGUUUGCAUUUAUUUGUGCAACCAUUGAAAAAGUCAUUUUCAAACGAGGUUUAAACUGAGCUAAGAUGUUUUUCCAAGGAUUUCACAGCUUCACUGAGUUGGAGUACUCAGUUUACUCCCUGCACCUCGUGUACAGAUGCAGGUAUUUGUUCACUCGGUAGCGGGUGUUAAGCUGAUCGGAGGCUAAGUUAUCGGAGUUUAGCAAGGUACUGCCAGCGUUCGUGGUACCGCAUUUCUUCCUUUUUUUUAUUAGUCCUAUUUUAUAUGUUUCAGGCCUUGCAGUUGUAUUUAUACUCUUAUAGAUGCUCGUGACUUGUGACACCCCGAUUUGAGUUGUGUUUGGGUUGUAUUCCGCACUUAAUAAAGAAAACUUUUGUUUAGAUUGUGGUUAUUUAAUUAUGCUAAAACUGUUUAUUAAUAUUAACUAUUCUAAAAAGGUGAAAUGGGUUGGUUGGUUGGCCUUGUCUUCAAGAGAGGUUCCAUCACGACCGGAUCGGGGUCUGGGUCGUGACAAUUUCCCUAUACACUUUUUGAUCAACAGAUGAACCAUGUUCGUACAAAUCCAAUUUUGUGGUUGUUGCUAUAGGAGUUUCAAUUCCUUUAGACUCUUCUAUCUUAAUCCUUUUGAGCAACUCUUUGACAUAAUUUUGCUGAUAGAUCAUAAUUCCAUUUGAAGUUUGUUUAAUUUGUAAUUCUAAAAAGAAAUCAAGCUGGCCCAUUAUUCUCAUUUCAAAUUCACUCCUCAUUAGCUUAGCAAAUUCUUUACUUAACCUAUUAGUUGUUGCUGUAAAAAUUAUAUCAUCAACAUAUAUCCGAACAAUAAAGAGAAAUUUACCAUUUUCUUUCAAUAAUAAAGUAUUAUCAAUUUUACCUCUCUUGCAGCUAUACUCAAACAGGAAUUUGGAAAAUCUUUCAUACCAUGCUCUUGGAGCCUGCUUAAGCCCAUAAACUUCCUUAUCAAACUUGUACACUUGCUCAGUACAUUUCUUUCUUUCAAAGCCAGGAGGUUACUUGACAAACACUUUUUCCUUAAAAUAGCCAUUGAAGAAUGCACUCUUGACAUCUUUGAUGAAGAGUGAAUUCACAUAAGCAACAAAGGCUAUAAGGAGUCUAAUUGUUUUCAAUCUUGCAACUGGAGCAAAAGUCUCAUCAUAAUCUAUACCCUCUUCUUGACUAUAUCCUUUAACCAUCAAUCUUGCAUUAUUCCUUGUAACUGUUCCUUCUUCAUCAAGUUUAUUUCUGAAGACCCAUUUAGUGCCAAUCACCGUUAUGUCCUUGGGUUUUAGUACCAGUUGCCAAACUUGACUUCUCUAGAAUUGGUUAAUUUCAUCUUGUAUUGCAUUCACUCAAUCUAAAUCAUGUAAAGCCUUAGAAAUAUAUUUAGGUUCAAAAAGAGAUAAGAAAGCAUCAAAAGCACCAAUAUUCAUUAAAUAAGAUUUGGUUUUGAUUUCAGAGGUUGGAUUAGUGAUUAUGUUCCCAAUGGGAUGAGAAUUUUGAUACUUGUAAGGUUUCACAACCAACUGAUUUUGUCUAGAUGUUCCUUCAUUAUUUUGUUGCUAAGGAAAAGGUUCAUGGAUAUGUUCCCUCGCGGUUUACAAAUCAAUUCCUCUCUGGUCAGUUGCCUAUGUCAAGUUGCCAUGGGUGGAUGAACCUGGUCCAUCACCUGUUCCUUCUUGUGAUGCAACUUUAAACCGGAUUUUGGCUUCACCAUUAAAUUUCUUAUCAGCCAAAUCUCUUCAUCAUCUUGUUUCUUCCUCUAAGAAAAAAUGUUAGUUUCCUCAAAGACAACAUGCACACUUUCUUCUACACACAUUGUUCUUUUAAUGCAUAUAUUAUAUGGUGUACCUAUGUGAAGAAUAUCUCAUUAAUACUCCCUCAUCGCUUCUAGGAUCAAACUUUCAUAGGGAGUCUUUUCUAUUAUUGUGAACAACGCACUUGCAUCCAAAUGCCCUAAGAUGGGAUAUAUUUGACUUUCUCCCUUUAAGUAACUCAUAGGGAGUUUUUUGAACAAGAAGUAUAGUCAUGCACUUAUUUAUGAUGUAGCAUGCAGUGUUCACGGCUUUUGUCCAGAAGCUGUGAGGCAACUUACUAGCAAGUAACAUGGUCCUAGAUAUUUCCUCAAAAGUUAUAUUCUUUAUUUCAACUACUCCAUUUUGUUGUGGAGUUCUAGAGUAAAACAUUAUGAUCUAUGUCAUGCUUAUCAUAAAAUUCAGAAAACUUAGCAUUCUCAAACUCAAUACCAUGAUCAGAGUUAAUGAUGCAAGUUGAUUACCUAGAUAUUUUGAGUUUUUAUAACAAAUGAAGUGAACAUGUAAAGCUUCAUCUUUAGAUGUUAAGAACAAUGUCCAUGUAAAUCUAGAGUAAUCAUCAACAAGCACCAUAACAUAUCUCUUACCACCUUUGCUCAUUAUCCUCAUUGGUCCACACAAAUUCAUAUGGACCAGUUCCAUCGACCUAGUAGUGCUAACCAUUUUUUUAAUGUUGAAAGAAGAUAUUACCUGCUUCCCUUUGCACAAGCCUCAUAAACUUUAUAAUCCUUGAACUUAAUAUUAGGCACCCCUAUCACCAAGUCCUUAUGAACUAGUUUGUUGAGUUGACUUAGACUAGCAUGUCCAAGUCUCUUAUUCCAAAGGAGGAGAUUAUUGUCCAUGACACUCAAGCAAGUGAAUUCAUUAUCUAAAAAUGUGGAUGGAUCCACCAUGUAUAUAUAUAUAUAUAUAUAUAUAUAUAUUGGUCACUCUUCUUCCCUGCAAAACUAUAUUAUCAAUGUAAGAUUAAUUACAAAAUAUUUUGUAAAUGUGAAAGCUACUAUGUUUCCUCUAUCACACAGUUGUGAGAUACUUAUCAGGUUGUAUUUCAGGCCAUAUAUCAUGUAGGUAUUCUUAUUUGAGUGAGAAUCAGAUUUUCCUACCUUCCCAACUCUAAUGAUCUCAUCUUUCUUUCUAUUUCAAAGGAGACAUUAUCUCCUUUAAAGGCCCCAAGUGAAAGGAACAGGUUCUUGUUCAUUGUCAUGGCUUUAAGCUACCACUAUCCAUGUUUAGUUGAUCUCUUGUACAAUGAAAGUGAAAGGAACAGGUUCUUGUACAAUGUUUAGUUGAUCUCUUUCACUUGGGGUUGUAAAAGAAAAUGAAUGAUUAGUCUUAGGAACCCAAACUGGAUUGGGUCCUUUUCUAUAAGUAAAAGGAAAAAUCAGAUUUUUCUUUGCCCAAUUUUGCAGCCUAUUCUUCCCUAGAAUAAAAUUUUUGUUUCUUAAACUUGCUUUUUCUCUUAGUACACAUUCACUCUUAUAGUGUCCAGUGAUACCAUAGUGAGUGCAAAUCUUAUUCUCAGGUAGUGUUAGAUAUUUGCUUUUGUGAUCCCAUUUAGGUGCAAAGUUCCCAAAGCCAAGUCUAUUUCUAUUACUACGAUGGUCUUCUUGUAGCCAUGAAAGUUCAUCAAAGGACAUGUUCCCUUUACAUGGUCUAUCAAGCUCAUGUUUAAUCUUUAUCAAGUCCUCUUUCAAAACUCUUACCUGUCCAUGCCUUUUGUACAACUCAUUUUUCACCUUUCUUAAAUUGUUCAGUGUGAGUUAUGUGUCACUAGCUAUUUCUUUACCUGUUCCUAACCUCAAUUUUGGAUUUUCAAAUAUAAGUUCUAAGACAGUUGUAUCAAGUGCAUGAACUUGGUUUUUUUAAGACAGUAUUUUCUUUUUCAAUUUCACAAGCCCUAAUUUCUAGCUUUUUGCGCUCUACUUCCAAAAUGACACACUCAUUUGAUAGUUUUUCCUUUUUUGAACUUACAUCUUCAGACUCAUUAAUUAAAGCUAGCAGUAGUUCAGAUAAUCUCUUUUUAGAAAGGAAUUUGAUCUUAUCUUUUAGUUCAAGGAAAGUUACCUCAGUUUGUUCAUCAAAGUCUUCUUAAAAUUAUCCAAUAGCCAUAAAAUCUUGUUCAUCCUCAUCGUCAUCCUCAUCAAAACCCUCAUCUAAGCUAUCUUCCCAAGUAGCAACCAUUUCUUUGGUUGAUCCUUCGUUGUAGUUAUUCUUGGGGUGAACCUAUUCCUUCUUCGUGUUCCUUCGUUAAACUCUCUCCUUUUUCCAUUCAAUCUCCCACACAGGACAAUUCUUGAUUAUGUGAUCACUUUUUUCAUAGCUGUUGUAUCCAUCAGUCACCUGCAUUUCAGUUACUUUGGAUUUGUUUUAUCUUCCACUUCUUAAAGUGCAUUUUCCUCUCCUUAGGUACUUCUUGAAGACUUUAAUGAUAAUUGCCAUUUUAUCAUCUCCUAAAUCAAAACCCUCAGUGAUUAUGAGUGCCAGACUCAUUUUAUUCUUAGGUACAUCCAUCUUCAUGGUUUGUUUUCUAUGCUCGUAGGUUUUGGGAUUUCCAAUCAACUCAUCCAAGAGAAGUGUAGCAAUAUUCUUUGAUUCCUGAAUCGAAGUGAUCUUACUUUCCGAAGUGAUAGGUAAAUCCCUAGUUAUGAUAUUUUCAAUCUUUACUUCUUAAAAAAUAAUCCUUCCAAGUGACCUCAAUUCAUUUCUCAAGGUAAUGAACCUUGUGUAUAUCUCCUAAAUUGUUUUUCCAUGCUUCAUGGCAAAGUUUUCAUAUUGUGAAAACAACAAAGUUUCUCUUAAUCUUUUCAAUUGACUUGUUCCUUCAUGAGCUACUUGCAGUAUGCUCCAUAUUUAUUUAGCAGUGGAGUAGCCUUAGAUUUUGUUGUACUCAUCAGGACCAAGUUCACAAACAAGCCAGUUCUUGGCUUUAGCAUUCUUCUCCCGCUUCUUCAAAUGCUCGGCAGUGUAGUCGGCUCUAAUUUUUGGAGCAUCCUUGCCUUGAGAAUUCUUUUUGAGUGUUAACAACAGGCCAUCAGUGAUUAUAUCCCAUAACUCAUAAUCUUCUACCUGUAAAUGAUCUCUCAUCCUCACCGUCCAGUAGUACUAGCUAUUGAAGAGUGAGGGCCUAGCAAUGGAUUAUCUUUCACAAUUUUCAAAUGGUGCACUCAUCUUGAUAAUUUCCUAGGGUGUUAGCCUCUUUAAGGAUAACCCACUCUAAUAUCAAUUUGUCACGACCCGGAUUUUCUAUCCUCGGGAGUCGUGAUGGCACCUACGUAGAAGCUAGGCAAGCCACGAAAUUAAGAAAAAAUUCUUUACUUAUUUGUUUUAAUCCUUUUAAAAACUUGCUUUAACAGGUGAUAAACAUUUAAAUAAUAGCGAAAUAUGAGAUUAAGCGGAAGACUUAAAUGAAAUAAACCAAAAUAAUACGGAAAUCAACAUAUGCCUCUACCCAGAUACUGGUGUCACAACAUUCACGGACUAUCUAUGAUUACUACGUACAACCGUUUAUAAGAAGGAACACUGUCUAUCUCAGAUACAAUGAUAACAGAAUAAAAUAACUGAUAGAAAAGACGUCGGGCAUGCGAACGCCUGCAGGACAACCUCGGAAUCUCGGUGGACUGAAGGCUAGCUCCCAAGCUACUGCUACUGACCCAAUGCUGCUCCGGUAUCUACACAUAAGUGCAGAGUGUAGCAUCAGCACAACCGACCCCAUGUGCUGGUAAGUGCCUGAUCUAACCCCGGCGAGGUAGUGACGAGGCUAGGACCAGACUCCAGAUAAACCUGUACAGUUAUAUUAUAUACAGCGGAAAGUAAAGCAGGAAUAAACAAGUAAGGAUGGGAGGGGGAAACAUGCUUCGGGGAAUAGCAGGUAAAACAAAAUAUCAAGAGAAAUAUAAAGGAAUCAAAAUCCAACCACUAACAAGAAUAAGGAAAUCAAAGACAGAUUUCACUUUCUUUUCACGUCUUGUUACAGGCGUACAACCCGAUCCCAUGUCCUGUAUCUCGUGGAAGGCGUGCCACCCGCUCCCAUUUCAUUUAUCUCGUGGUAGGCAUACCACCCGCUCCCAUUUCAUUAUAUCUUGUGGUAGGCAUACCACCCACUCCCAUUUCAUUAUAUCUUGUUGUAAGCAUACCACCCGCUCCCAUCUCAUUAUAUCUUGCGGUAGGCAUACCACCCGCUCUCAUUUACAAGCCAACAAUAAUCACAAGGAAUCCCGACAAGGGUACAAGAGCAAUAUAACAACUUCUCGACAAGGGAACAAUGAUAUUUCAACAAUAUCCCGGCAAGGGAACAAUACUAUCAAAACAAACAUCCCGACAAGGGUACAAUACUAUCAAAACAAACAUCCCAGCUAAGGAUCAUUAAUAUCAAACAAUCAUCCCAACAAGGGAACAAUGGUGAUAAUAACAUAUGAAGCGCAAUAAACCACAACGGAGUCAUAACAAUUAUAAUACAAGACUCACGGGCAUGCUUGACACCAACGUAUAGAUACUCGUCACCAUGCCUAUACGUCGUAUUCCACAAUUAACAUGUAGCAAAUAAGACACAACUCCUAAUUCCUCAAGCUAAGGUUAGACCAAACACUUACCUCGAUGCCUCGAACACAACUCAAGUUUCAAUUAUAGCUUUACCCCUUGAUUCCUCCACCAAUUCGCUCGUAUCUAGCCACAAGUUACUUAAUUACAUCAAUAAAAACUAAAUGAAUCAAUUUGAAUGCUUGAAAAUGAGUUUAUUAAAGUUUUCCCGAAAAAUCAAAAAUUGCCACCAGGCCCACGUGGUCAAAACCCGAGGUUCGAACCAAAACCCGAUUACCCAUUCCCCCACGAGCUCAAAUAUAUAAUUUAUUUUGAAAUCGAACCUCAAAUCAAGGUCCAAAUCCCCAAUUUUUUAAAAACCUAGGUUCUACCCAAAACACCCAAUUUCCCCCAUGAAAAAAUCAUUGAUUUGAAGUUGAAAUCAUGUUAAAAGAUGUUAAUGAAUGAAGAAAACUAGUUAAAAAAUGACUUAAGUUUUUUUGAAAAAUCGCCUCUUAUAUUUUUGGGAUAUUUUAAAUAAUGCAAAAUAACUAAAAAUCUCGUCUAUUUAUACCCCUCCCAGACCCCCUGUGCGGACCACACAAAAUGGAUUGCGGCCGCACAGGCCUUCCUGAGGGUACUGCGGUCCAGUGCCCUGUGCGGACCGCACGAAAUGGACCGUAGUCGCACAGGCCUCCACCGCGCACCGCACGAAACCUACCGCGGACCGCACUGGACCCCUUCCGCGGUCACACACAUUUUUGUGCAUACCGCACUGGCGAGUUCGGAGACCUGCAACUUCUGGUUUUUAAAACAUCCUGAACCUACCCGAAACUCACCCGAGCCCUCAGAACUCCAAACCAAGUGCAAACAAAACCUCAAGAACAUCCUACGGACUUAUUCAUGUAACCAAAUCACCAAAAUAACAUCAUGAACAUCAAAUUAAACCUCGAGAUCAAUGAAAUUUCUCAAAACUUCUUUAAACAUAAAUUUUGCGAUUUUAGUCCGAAUCAUGUCAAAUGACAUCCGUUUUCACCAAAUUCUACAAAAACGUCUUAAAUAAUAUAUAAGACAUGUAUCGGGUACCGGAACAAAAAAUACAGGGCCGAUACCAUCAUGUUCUAAGCAAAUUUCAUUUCAAAUUUCUUUAAAUAAUUUCAGAAAACAAUUUCCUUUAAAAAUUCAUUUCUCGGGCUUGGGACCUCGGAAUUCGAUUCCGGGCAUACAUCCAAGUCCCAUAUUUUCCUACGGACCCUUCGAGACUGUGAAAUCAUGGGUCCGGGUCCGUUUACCAAAAAUAUUGACCGAAUUCAAAUUAGCUUAUUUUAUAAUUAGAACUUAUCAUUUUUCACAUAUUAUCAUAUUUAAGCUUUCCGGCUAUGCGCCUGGACUGUGCACGCAAAUUAAGGUGAUUCUAAACGAGGUUUUCAAGGCCUUAGAACACGGAAAUUUUGUUUUAAAACAAGUGAUGACCUUUUGGGUCAUCACACAAUUAAUGUUUUAUACAUCAAUACUACAUAAAAGCGGUGGUGAUUUGUGUGGUGCCUAAUCACGUGACCUGGAUUAUCAAAGGACAUGGUUCUUCUAUGCGUUCCUUGAACUACAGUUGCAAAAUAAGUAACGCAAAGAAUUAAGAACACAAGUAUUUAUACGUGGAGAACACCUGACUCAAAAGGGGAAAAAACCACAACCUACUUCCCAAUAUGAAUCUCCCCAAACACUUCACUACAACUUCGAGCCAAAAUCAAAGUUUACAAACUCUUGAAAACCUAAGGAUUAACUCUUACCCUUGUAGCAACAAGCUACAGGUUGUUGCGACUAUUUCAAGUUAACUCUAACUUGAAUGAUACAACUCAAGUACCUAGUACAAAUGCUUCUAAGGAAAGCUGAAAGAUACAACUCAAAAGCUCCUACUACAAUUGAACUAGAAUUAAAGACAAGACACAUGAAAAUGUUUCUCCAAUCUAGUUCAUGCAGAUUCAAGUUCGCUCUCUUGAAUCUCAUAGAAAUUGCUCUCAAAAAUUCUUGCUAUUUUGCUCUCAAUUCUGCUUAAUUUCGGUAUAUGUGUGUCACUGGUUAAAGAGAACAAACUGAUAUUUAUAGAGUUAGAGGAAUAAAGAUUAACUAGAGGUCUAUUGUUUUACUCUUUCUUGGUGGAAGAGUUCUAGUUAUCUUCAACUUCUAACUCUUUCCUUAUCUUUGAAAGAGUUCUCUUCAAGUAAAGAGUCAUGCUCCUUAUCAAAUAUGCUCUUUUCGUUAAGAUAUUAUCAGAAAUAACAACUUAUACUUAAUCCUUGCAUGUCUUUUGCUUGAUUAUGACCGUAACAUGUGUGCAGUGUCUAUAGACAUGGUUCAUGCAUGUGUUCCUUUGUCAAUCAUCAAAAUUUAAACCGCUCAUGUCAAGAAUUAGAUAUAAUUAGUGAUGCUUAUAUAUUGUCUAUACAUAAUUUGGGCUUUUUUAUUUUCUAAAAUUUAAAUAAUAUAAUAAAAAUUUCAUACUACACAACAAAACAUGUGCCUGAUGCCCCUGAACCUUAUCUGAAGAGCCUUAAAACUAAUCCUCAAGCCAUACAAGGACCUGUAUUCUAGGAUAAGUAUCUAGAGAUGAUAACUUCAAUCCAUGUCCCCUGGUACGAGGGUUUGUGUAUCACAACCAAAGGCAGUAGCUAUUUUCUUCUUGGCUUCUAGCAUGUUGGUGUGGUAUUAGGGAAAUUAGGAAAGUGCCCCAUGCCAAUCCUCAACCUACACAAGCUUUUGUCCAAAAUUAUGAGAUUUAUCACAUCCAAAUAAAGUGACCGGUUUACCUUUGCCUUUAUGCUUAUCGCUUUAAUCCUAGGUAACUAGAUGAGCAGAAAAUGAAGAAGCAAUCCCAGACUAAUAUCCAUGUCCGAUAUAUUACAACUAAUCUUAUGAUGGAUUAGCUUAAUUCUUCUAAUAGUUCUUGAGCCAACUAGAACAAACUUCCUUUUGGGAAGAAGGUGAUUAUGUACUCACUUUACGUCUCUACGUUCAUCAGUUCUGAGACCAACCUUAGAGCUGGUAAUAAUUGGAAAGUACAAUAAAAUAUUAUGAACAACAUGCGGACUUCACAUAUCUCGCACGAGAGAAAAAAUACCGGUAGGAAAAGAUGCUAAACUAUAUCUAGUCAUUUUGUCAUGAUCCCAAAACCCCACCUUAGGUAAUCGUGAUGGUAACUAGUCACUGGGACUAGGUAUGCCUAACAUGUGCGGAGAAUUAAUGGAAUUUAACUAACUUAACCGCAAUACAUUAAUUAAUAAUUUUGCCUCCGCUGCUGCUGAAAUCUCCCACCAGAUCGACCCUGUGGCGAAUCCCUUGUUGCCUUGGCUGGGCCUAAAAUGGCACCACUGAUAUUGACUGGGCCCCAGUGGCAGUGCACUAACCAAAGACUGAUAAAAGGAAUGGGAUAGCCCUAACGACCCUCCCCGGAAUACUGACCUACCACCACCACUACCAGAAGAACCACCAAGGUUGCCCGCGGACCGGGCCUUGUUACUACCCUCACGCUUCAUUCUGAUCUUCAAUUUGCGGGUCUCUAUGGCUUGAGAAAAUGCCACCAUCCUACCAUAGUUCAUGUCAGAAUUCAAGGAAGUUGUAGCGGCCUCAUUAAUGACCAAGGGGUUAAGGCACUGCACAAACCGGCGCACUCUAGCCUCCAUAGCGGGCAACACGUAGAUGGCACAUUUGGACAGGUGCGCGAAUCUCAUAUGAUACUCCCACACACUCAUGAUACCUUGUUUCAGGCUCCCAAACUCGGAAGCAUGGGCAGCCUAAGUCUCGGUACGCAAGAAAUGAUCAAUAAAAGCAUCUGCAAGCUCACUCCACCCCGCAAGAGGGCUCCCCUCCUCACGAGAGUCCUCUCACAUCUCAAAACAAGAAUUGGGCACCCCUUUCAGGUGGUAGGAGGCCAACUCCACUCCCUUCGUCUCAAUAGAACGCAUAACUCGGAGGAUCUUAUACAUCUCGUCAAUAAAAUUUUGGGGGUCCUCCUCAGGAUCAGUACCUGUGACACUGCAGGAUCCAAUUGGAGAAAUCUAUUCACCCUAGAACCAGCGUAAUCCCUUGGCUUACUAGAAGAAGUGGGUGCAAUAUUUAAUCUAUGGGCCUGAGAAGCUUAUGAGCCAACAUUUGUGUGGCUCCCCUAAGAUCCUCAUCAGAUACACCAAGACUGAAAGCUGGGGGUGAAGGUGGAACUGGAAUAUUAGUUGGAGGGAUCGUUGCACCCUCAGUAGGUGUAGGGAUAGGUGCAGUCUUAUCAGGAGUAGUGGAAUCAGGCAGUGUAGUAGUCGGGGGAAUAUUCUCACCCCUCUGGAGCUCACCCGCAUCAUCAAGUAAAAAAUUAACUACCACUUCUGGGGUGGCAUUGGCUCCUUGGCCAAUUCAUUCUUCCUAGGUGCCAUGUACUUAAAAUUAGAGCAAUGCACGAGCUAGAGGAUGAACAUUCUUACAAUCAGCUCUGUCGCAUGAUCUAUAACAUCAAAUACGGGUAUUAUUCCUAAAUUCCCAAGUAGCCUCCUAAUUAUAUAUGUGGUCGACAACACACUGAUAAUAAGGACUCUAGUAUACAUGGCUCCGAGACAUCCUAGGACACGUUAAUACCUGGCUUUGAUAUCAAGUUUUUCACGCCCCGACCUUGGUUAGCAUAACCGGUGCUCAAUAGGGUUACCCCGAUCGAGCAAGCAUGCACAAUGCCAUCUAUCCAACUCACCCAUGAUUAAAGAGAUGAAUACAUUUCGUUAAUUAGACAGUGAGAUGUCAUGUGAAUAACACCAGUUAAUUCCUAGUAGUUACAUCAUUAACAACUCUCCAGAACAGUACAUUAUACAUCCAUAGUUAAAGUGGAACAUAUGAUACAAUUACUACAAGUUUAGUUCAACCUUCCCAAAAUAAGAUACAACCCACACUAUGUAUAUGUUGCCUCUAACAGAACCAAAAGUGUUCUAAGAUGGUGCCGGCAAUAAGGCCCCGACUAUACCUCAAAAUAUUAUGUACAAAGGAUAAGAGAUAGAUGACCCCGAAGUGAAGCGGACUCACCAAGCCAGCUGAAGAGAGGGUAUGUUGCUAUCACGGAUCACACCACCUGCUAAGAAACCACCUGCAUCCAUUAAAGAUGCAGUUCUCCCAGCAAAUGAGACGUUCGUACAAAUGGAAUUGUACUAGUAUGUAAAACUAAAUACCAUCUCAAUAGAACGAAUAAAAGUAAACGUGAAGGAAACAUGAAAUCAGUAAGAGACUCAUAUAGUAAUAAGGAGUUAAAUUAGGGGAAAGGUAAAUUUCAAGCAAAUUCGACAUUAGAUGUUGGGAGACCUUUAGCAUCGAUACACCACCGUGUUCUUACCACGAAGUCUGAUCUCAGCCCGAUCAGCUAAUUCAUCUCACCCUGAGACAUCCACUUACAAUACGACCAUGUGCGCAGCAUGGCAUCCGAUCUCGACCCGAUCGGCGAAGUCGUCUCACCACAAUGCCGUGUGGGUCAACAUCACAUCUUACUAGCAAUAACCUUAUACCAUUCAAGGGGAAACAUCUCAAUACAUCACUCUCAUCCCAUAUAAUGGGAAACAACUUCAACACAUUAACACGGGGAUUUACCCCUCAAUCACUCCUACACCGGCACGUGUAGUUUCGGGGUUAGGUUAUUUAGACCUACCCUUCUUCAGUGACUAAAUGAUACUCCCAAAGCAUUUGUUAUUAAAAUGGAUUUACCACUCAUUUCAUAUUCUUUUAUAUAUCAUUGAUUUCAUGGGUACCAAUGGCCAUGAUUUAAUAUCAUUCUUGGUACGUUGGCUGCACAUCAUAUUUCAUGCUCUUUUCUUUUACUUUCAAAUAUCAUCAUAUAUAAUCAACAACAAGGCUUUCAAAUUAAGACUUUAAACACACAUUUAAGCUGGUUAGGGUCUUAGUCACAUGUGAUUUCUUACACAAUUUGAUAUGAUAGCUUUCAUUAGAAUCAAGUUUUUAAACCAUAACAUAUUAGCACACAACCCAUACUUAAACAAUAUCCUCAAACAGUAACUCAACACAACAAGAACCUUUGGAACACAUAUUGAGAGCAUAUUUAUUUGGACAUAAGGAUUAUUCUUAUUAAUCAAUUUAUAAUGAGCAGCACGAGACUUGUGGGGUUCAAUUCUAAAAUAGGAGUUUAGCCAACAUACCUCGCUUUGAGAUUUCCUUAAUUCACUACACAGUUUCGGAAUCCUAGAAACUUUGAUCUAUUUAGAGACAUAGCAAAAGUGAGCAUAAAUUAGGAAUGAGUUCAUGAUUCUAGCUCAUUUGAGCAUUUUGUGAAACACUAGGUGGCCAUUGUGAUCUCAAGGUCUUCCAAUGGGGGAUUCCUCUACCCAGUUGAGCUCAACAAUCUUCCCACAACCCUAGAUAGUACAUGCAUGCAUAAUGAACAACUUCCACACCUAAGAAAUGUUUGGCUUAUUACUUUUUUCAGUUAAAUCUCGAAAUUAAAGGCUAGGGAGUAUAAUCUUACCUUUUGUUUAAAGACCAUGUGAGUUACCCUAGAGAAAUAUUCAAGGUUUGAGUAAAGGUUGAUGAACAAAUGACUUAGAAUUCCUCUUCUCACUCUAAACCACCUUCCUCUAUCUCUCUAAAAUAUAAGUUUGAACCUUCUACUUUGAUCCCUAAGGGUGUUUUAUAAGAAUGAGGUCGGGUUUAUAAAACCAGAAAAAAGAAGCCCCGACGUAGAUAUGUGGUCGCAUAUGCGACCGCAUAAAGCUUCUGCGGUCCGCAAAAUGGGCUGCAUAAUGGCCCUCCAGAACUGCGCAUUUUCUGCUCCACUCUACGACUAAUCUGCGGUCCACAGACCAAACCUCCGGUUGCAUAAUGCGCCAUAGAACAUUCCUCGGGAAAUUUUAUGUUGCAUUUAUGAUGGAUUAUACGGCCCGCAAUAUGAUUAUGCUGCCGCAUAAUGGACCGCAUAUUGGUCCUAAAAUUUAGCUCAGGUUUCUGCUUCACUCUGCGGUAGAUCUACGCUCCGCAGAUCUAUUCUACGAUCGUAGAAUUGGCCGCACAAAUGCACUGCACUUCCCAAAAAUUUUCUUCAACUUUCCAACACACUGUUCAACCUAAAAAGUCCCUGCUAAAAUCAUUAACACAUAUGUCCACCUCGGCACCACGAAACCCUGGGAUUUUGGUAAAAUUUUACAGGGCCUUACAGUUAUUUGGUUGAUUUGAAGAGAUUCAAUUCUGAUAUUUUGGUUAUGUAUAAAUGGGUCCCGAAUGCGUUGUGGCAGUUUAGGCCAUGACUUUAGGUUGUGUCUUCUGUGGUUAAAGGCAGUUUGUUACGUGUUGCGAUUUUCUUCUAAAAUAAGUUUUUCCAGCCAAUGAAGUGUUUAUUCAACUGGUGGUUUAGGAGUUAUGACAAAAUUCUUGUACUCUCGUGUAAUAGAAUGAUAGGUAUAGUGAGCGGUGUGCAAUUAGAAUUGAGGGAUCAAGGUUGUAGUUCAAUUUUGACAGGGAUGUCACGAGCUCGGAGUAGCGGAGAAAGAUUUUAGCUGUUUAGAGUAUACUGGCACUAUUUUAGUGCCAUUUGAGAGUGGUGUUUUGUGGAAGAGGUAUUGUGUAUUGAUUUACAAAUUCCUGAGUAACUCUACAGAAAUAGCUUAGUUGGUAGUGAAGGAUGUGUAGAUUCUGUUACUUGGUGCGAAAGGUUGUGGGAGUAUCUCCCACGGGACAAUUGUAUAAGUGUGAUGUGUCAGUCAUUUAAGUGGUAGAGAAUGAAAUUAGGUAUGGAGAUUUUGGUGUUGUAGUAGAUUGGAGAAUUUAUGGUUGCGAGAAGCGCCAUUCCUUUGGUUGCAGGGUUUGUUCCAGAUUUGAGGGUUGAUCGCACGUAUCAUGGAUAGGGUCAUUGUGGACCUUUUGAAGGUUAUUGACCUAUUUUAGUCCAAUGGUUAUAUUUUUCAUGCGUGCUAGAUAGUUCUAGUACUUGGGCUUCUAUUCUUGAUUGGUCAUAUUCGAGUAUGGCUUAUUUGCACACGGAUGGCAUCGUAUGAGAUUUUUGAUGAUGUUUUAUAUGGCUUAUCGUUCGAGCAUCUUGUACUGGGUGAGAUGCGAUUAUUGGACCAGGAAUCAGUACGAUCUGAUGUGUAUAAUGUAUAUUUAGAGAAGGAAUGUAACUAAUCCGUUCAGAAGGUGGCAAUGGUUUUGUCAAGCGAAAGAACCCCAUGAUUUAUUCAUGUAACGAGUGGUUAUGAGAGUCUGCACCUCUCUUUCAUUGUUGUAGUAUUUCGAGAUUCGGAGUAGGAUUUUUAUGUGUCAUGAGGUAUAUUACCGGUAUCAGGUUCACAAAUUGCAACUAGUGUAGUUGGAAGCUAUCACCUUGGGAAUAUGAAUUAUGUGGUGCUUCGUGUGGUUGUAAAUUGGGUGUAUCUAUAUGUUUGGUACAGCUUGUGGAGUUUGAUACAGUUUAUAUAUGCAAAAAUUGGACUUUGUAGGAAAUUCCGAAUAUUGGAAUUUGGUUCUAAGGCUUGUGGGCUGAGGUACUUGGAAGGAUCUUUAGUAUGGGUUGAGCUAGUGUGCUCAUGUUAAUUGUGAUGGCAUGGGUUGGUGCACGAUGACAUAUGUAGUGAUUUUGGCAACUUUGGAACAGUUCUUGGAACGUUUGAGGAUGAACGUAUGUUUAAGUGGGGGAGAACACAUCCACCCGACCGGUCAUUUUGACCUCUAGCAUGUUGUUCGGUGGUUUGAUACCUUGAGUAGCUUCACUAUAUGUAUUAUGAAUUGCACGUGUUGUUGGUUUUGGUUUCAGGAAGUUCGGAGUUGAUUUGGAAGAAUAAUUCUCAAUUCGGACGUUUUAAGUUAGAAGAAUUGACCAAGAUUUGACUUUUAAAUAAACGAACUCGGAAUUAGGAUUGGAAGGUUCCUAUAGGUUUCAUAAGGUUAUUUUGGACAUGGUUGUAUGUUUCGGUUGUCUAUCAAAUGGUCCGAGGGCAUUUGGGUGCGUAAUAUCAUAAGGUUGCAUUGUGAAGGUUUGGAAAUUUGCUAAGUUUGAUUUACAGUGGACUUUGGUGUUAUCGCACUCCAGACAGUGUUUUGGAACCUUGGAUAAGUUCAUUUUAUUGACUAGAACUUGUGCGUGAAGUUUGGUGGUGAUCCAGAAAGUCUAAGAGUGAUUCGGACGCAUUCAGCAAAGUUUGAAUGUUUAAAAGUAAAGAGAAGCUUUAGGUCAUCGAUUCAUCAUUUUGAUGUUAUUUGUGGUGUAUUGAGCCUUUGGAUAAGGUAUUGGGACUUAUUGGUGUGAUUGGACGAGGUCUGGGGGGCCUCGGGUAUGUGUCGGGAUGGUUUCAAGCCAAUUCUCCUUAUUUUGAUGUUGCUGGUCUCUGGUGUCGGGUGUGUGAUUUGCAAUGGCGUAAGAGGCAUCAUGAUUCCGAAAUGUUGUUGGAGCUGGUAAAGACUUUGUUCUAUGCGAUCGCGUGUAGGGUGUCGCACAGUGCUUGAUCAGGUUGUUCUUUGUGUUUGCGCGGUGAGGGUCAUGAUUGUGAUGUGUUAGUGGGGCUGGCUUGGGUUUGGAAGGUUGUUCAUCCUAAUUGUGUGAAUUGGUUCGUGAUCGCAUAAGGUAUUUUUUGACGCUGAAGGUUUUGGCAUUCAUAUUCACGGGGCAGGACUCGCUUUAGUGUAGGCUUGUGCAGGUUUAGCUUCGCGACUGCGAGAUGGUCCCUGCGUUCAUGCAGAAGGAUUUCCUGGGCGAGGCUGGUUGGCCUUCGCGAUCGCAAUGGGUUUUCCAAGAUCGCGAAGUUGGUUCACUUUGGCAGAUUAUAAAGUUGCAAACGGAACUUGGCUCAUUUUUAUCUCUUUCUCGCAUUGGGGCCGAUGUUGGGGCGAUUUUGAGGAGCCAUUUUCAUCAUCUAUCUUGAGGUAAGUGAUUCCUACUCAUUGUGAGUAAAUUCAUGGUUUAUAUAAGGAUUUUACCAUGAAGAUUGGUAGAAAUUGUGGGAUUUUGGAAGAAAACAUAGAAAUGCUAAUUUUGGAUUUUGACCACAAAAUUGGACAAGGAAUUGGGUAUAAAUUAUAUAUUUGAAUUCGUGGUGCUAUGGGUAAUAUUUAUUUUCGAGAACUUUUGAAAUCCGAGCACGUGGGCCCGAGAGUUGACUUUUCGUGUAGAGUUGGUAAUUGCUUCUAAUUAUUACAUUAUGAGCCUUUGGGUAUAUUUUCAUUGGUUUGCACAUAGUUUAAGUAGUUUCAAAUUGUUUGGCAUUAAUUUGAGGAGCUAGAGAGGCGUUGGAUCCGGUUGUGAGCAUGUGAUUUUUGCCCUAUACGAAAUACUCCUAUAAAAUCCCAAGAAAAUAGGUUUACUAUUAAUUAUUUGCCAUUUUAGGAAUUUUUGUAGAAUUUUAUUUUAUUGUUUGCAUUUUUGUGCAUGUUUAAGUUUUAUUUAAAUCAUGAAAAAUACCAAAAAAUACCAUGCACUGCAUUUAGGAUUUGUUUUUACAUUUUUAGGAUUAAUCAAUAAUUAUUUGUUUUAUAAAAUGAAAAUCACAGAAAAUGAUUCAUUUUUACACUUUUUCCUUUUAUUUUUAGGUUAUUGAUAUUUCUCUUUUAAGUUAGGAUUAAGCAGCUUUUAUAGUUUAUGUAAUUAGUUAAUUAGUUUAAUUUCACAUUUUUAGAUAAUCUAGGAUUUUAAUUUAACGAUUUUUAACUAAAGAAAAAGAAAAAGAAAAAAGAUAAGAAAAGAAAUUGAAGAAAAGAUUUAAUUAGAUAUUGGGCUAGUUCUUGUACCCAAAUUAGGCCCAGAUUUUCCUACCCAGCCCAAAAACCAAACCAACCCGCAAGCCCGUGACCCGUAUUGGCACAACCCCCUCUUUAAAAUCCCACUUUCCUAAAAUCUAGGGGUGGACUUUACCCUAAGACCCUUACCCCUAAAAUGGCGCUGCUCUUCUUCUUGAACGGAGACCUUAUCAGAAAAAGCAAAAAAAAAAUAAACCCCCACCCUUCGUUCUUCAUCAUUACCAAAUAGAAACAACGGAACCUCACCUCCACACUCUCGUCCCUCAAAUACACACACAUAAACGACUAAAGCAAAGUUAAAAAAAAUCAAAGGAAGAUCUGAAAAUCACAAAGCUUGAAAACAAAGAAGAACUGAGAUUUCUAAAGAAGUUUGAAGAAAAAUUAAUUUCCAAAUUCAAUUCCUCUUUUUCUAGUUUGUACGAGUUGUGGAAGUCGAUUUCAUGGGUCUGAAAUUUUGCUGCUCUACUGCUGAUUCACUACGUUGCUGAGCUCCAUCUUCGGAGUAUUUUGGUUGUUAUUCGAUUUUUGAAGUUUGUUUCACUUGCCGCUAGGUAUGUGAUUGCUCACUUUGUAAUCUUCCAUUAAUUGUAUGAAUGAAGACUAGAACUGUUUUGCUGAAUCUAUGUUUGAUUUUUGUGUGUUCAUUAUUGUUGGCUACUAGACUCUUCUCCAUCUGAUUUGCUCGGUUUAUGUGUUUAAAUUUGAAGAUUUAAGUUGGAUAUUAGUGAUUGCUAGGAAUGCCUUGAAGCUUAGUCAAAGAAUUAUUCUGAAUUGUUUUGGCUGUGUAGUUGAAAUUUCUCUCAUGUCUAAAUUCUCGGCCGCUAUAAAUAAUGAUUCAUCUAGGAUACUUAACAAAAUCCUAGAGUAAAUCUCAAAAUUUAUAUUCUGGGUCUGUUUGACUGUUUUUAUGAACAUUAUGAUUAUCAUUGUCAAGAUACUAGCAGAACCUGAUAUAAAUGUUGUUGCCUGUUGCUACUGAAUCUUUAGGAGCAUUUUAAUUUCCAAACUUCUAGGCAAUAGUGGUGAAAAUAAAAGGCUACAGUUAGAAGAAUUCUAUUGCGUAGGAAAUGCACUAAUAGGAAGAUCUUUAGGCAGUAAUUUGUUGAUAUUUGCCAUCUCCUGUGUAUUUUAAUCAGAUUUCCUCUCUAUUGGAAUUUUGUAUAUGACACGCCCCAACCUUGGGAGGCGCGACCGACGCUCAAUUGAGUGAUCCCAACUGAGCAAGCCUUAUCAAACACUACCUACCCAGCUCAAUAUGAAUAAGGACACCAUGCUUCCGUUUAUUUAACCAAGGGAAGAUAGUGCAUCACACAUUACGAGUUCAUUUUAAAUAACCACAUCAAACCAUAAAUGCGUUCCGAUGUUCCAUACAUUUAUACUUUAGAGAAACGGGAAUUAGAGUUACAACAUAGUUAGUACACCCAUCAGACACCCGCACAUGACCCAUACAUAUGUCUACGAAGCCUCUAAGGAUGUAAAAGACAAGUAUGACAAUGCCGGCAACAAGGUCCCGGGUAUACCUCAAAAGUGAAAGUCCACAACACAAAGAUAUACAAUAUAGCCCCUUGAAGGAGAAAGGGGAUCACCAAGAUCUUGAGAAGAGGGAUGCUUCGCUACACAUGAUUGGCACUAUCCGCUACGGAGCCACCAACAUUCAUUAAAAAAAAUGUAGCGCCCCCGGCAAAAGGGACAUUAGUGCCAUCAAAUAGAACUAGUAUGUAUAACUAAACACCAUCAAAUUAGAAAUAACUUUCAUACACAAAUAAGGAAAUUACAAGUAUCACACCAAAGCAUUAAACGAUCACAACAUUAUCAACAUGAAAGAAAUACACAACCUUCACAUCAUGUUUCCAUAGCCUUUAAUUGGGCAUUUCAUACUGUUCCACAUCGUUCACAUUACCACCGCUAUCUUGAACGGAGUCCGAUCUUGACCUGAUCAGCUAGGCCGUCUCCCGGAGACGUUACCAAUAUUCUAUUCACACUUUCCAGUUUCAACCAUCAAUGCAUAACCGCCAUGUGUAUGUCAUGGCGUCCUAUCACUGGCCGAUCGUCUAGGCCGCCUUACCGAGGCGUUACCAUUUUCCAUUAUUCAUCUCACUCCAAUCUUUGGUUAUACAUGUAUUAGUUUACCGGCACUUGGGACCACAAUUUUCACAUUUCACAAUUCACGGUUCACAUUGUUCCCAUUUUCAACAUUAGGUUUGCAAUUCAAGAGAGUAUAGAACACAAGAGCAAAUAAGGUUGUAGGCGUAGAUGAGACUUCAUGUAAAUGGCACAACAACGCACUUCAAUUUCAAUCUAAGGUCUAAGCAUUUCGAUACCUGAUUCAUAGUCCUUGCACCUUUUCAAAUUAUCAAGAAUAGCACGUUGAUCAAUUUGAGACACAGUUUCCAUGCAUAUAAGGUUGCAACACCAAGUCAAGUGAAAUAGCAAUCAAUACAACAAUUCAAUUUAGUCUUACCGUACUCACACAACCAACGAUGAAUCUCAAUUUCUAAAAGAUGGGGUUUUCCUUGUUCGUUACAAAAUUCCGGAACAUUUAGCACUUCGAUCUAUUAUGUAAGAAUUACAUUUAAACCGAGAAUUAGAACUGCCCCUUGCAGAAUACCAAGGGAAUUAUGUGACGACUAUACGGUCUGCAUAUCGGUUAUGCGAUAGCAUAAUCGACCGCAUAGUUGACCUCAAAUUUACCAACACACUGACUCACUUUACGGCUACUAUGCGGUCCGCAUACCUGAUAUGCGACCGCAUUCUCGACCGCAUAAUCGCAUUUUUCUGGAAAACAUUAUUUCUUGACUUUUUAGAGCAUAGAUCAGUCAAAGAGGUUACGCAUCAUUAACACAUAAUCCUAAUUGCCACUACGAGCUUUCGGGUUUAGAGUGGAAAUUUUCAUGGGGCCUCACAGUAUACUCUUAUUUACAUCAAUUUGUUAGUAAUGAAUGAGAAGGAAAAAUGUUCCCUUUAGUGUUCCAUACAGAGAACUUUUUGUGUAGUGGGGGGUUUGAAUUUGCUUCAAGCACUGUGUGCUUAGGAUUGUUAUCGAAAGAAUUGACGCAAGUCACAGACUAUGGUCAUUGGGAACUAUUUGUGUGUUUGAAGCAGAACGUUUGGACUUAACUUUUUAGCUCAUUCACAACUGUCAAUAUUAAGCUAGUGAAUCAUAUGAACAUCCAUAGUUUGCCUUAAUUGAGUACAAAUUUUUUUAAAAUAAAUUGAGGCGUGCCAUCUACAAAUGAAUGCUAUAAUCCAUGGCCCUCACAUAAAUACAAAACUAGAGUGGAAAUUCUCACGGGGCCUCACAUCCUCCCCCACUUAAGAUCAUUCGUCCUCGAAUGAGGAUCAAGGUUCACUUAUUUGCAGUCUUUGUAUAAUCUUCUGCUCUUUGCAACCUGAAACAUAUUUAUAGACCCGAAAUUUAGCUAAAUCCCUAAAUUUCCGAAAAUUUCGCCAGAGUUUCCUCUGUAUUUAGGCCUAUCCACCUGUCAGAGAGCCCCAUAAACAUAUCCUAACCCCAUGUACACAUUCCAUAGACAUACAACAUAACAUAACUCGUAUAAUACUAACCAUGGCCGUAUGGGCAACAUAUAACCGAAACAGGACAAUUUUACAUAGAUCAAGUCAAGAUGAGAGUUCAUAGGAGCUAAAUGCAUAAAAGCUAUUACAUGACUAUUCAAACAAGUGUGGAUACUUCCUUUUCAUUUCAUCCUCGGCUUCCCAAGUGGCUUCCUCAACUUGUUGGUUUCACCAUAAUACUUUCACGGAUACAAUUUCCUUAUUUCUCAAUUUCCGAACCUGCCUAUCAAGAAUGGCAACUGGAACUUCUUCAUAUGACAGUUUUUCAUUUACCUCCAUAGUUUCAACUGGCACAAUAGUGGAUGGAUCUCCCACUACCUUCCUCAACAUGUACACAUGAAAGACCGGGUGUACUAAUGACAUUUCGAGUGGCAGUUCGAUCUUGUAUGCCACCUGGCCAAUCCUCUAAACGAUUCUGUAUGGUCUGACAUACCUCAGACUCAAUUUUCCCUUCUUUCCAAAACGCAUGAUGCCCUUCAUAGGGGAAACCUUCAGAAAUACCCAAUCAUCUUCUUUGAACUCUAAAUCUCUGCGACGCACGUCCGAAUAGGAUUUUUGGCGACUCUGAGCAGUUUUCAAUCUCUUCUUAAUAAUCUUGACUUUCUCCAUGGCCUGAUGCAUGAGGUCCAGCCCUAUCAAUUCCGCUUCUCCAACCUCGAACCAUCCAAUGGGAGACCUACAUCUCCUACCGUACAGUGCUUCGAAUGGUGCCAUCUGGAUACUAGAGUGGAAGCUGUUGUUGUAAGCAAAUUCUAUGAGAGGCAAAUGGUCAUCCCAACUACCCUUGAAAUCAAGAGUACAAGUGCACAACAUGUCUUCAAGCGUCUGAAUAGUCCGCNNNNNNNNNNNNNNNNNNNNNNNNNNNNNNNNNNNNNNNNNNNNNNNNNNNNNNNNNNNNNUCUGAAAUGAUUGAGACUGGAGUGCCAUGUAACCUGACUAUUUCUUUGAUAUACAACUGAGCAUACUAUUCCGCUGUGUCGGUAGAUUUGACUGGCAGGAAGUGCGCUGACUUUGUGAGUCGAUUAACAAUCACCCAAAUUGGGUCGAACUUGCGCGGAGUGCGUGGUAACCCUACCACAAAAUCCAUGUUGAUCCUCUCCCAUUUCCACAUUAGAAUUUCUAUACUUUGAGCCAAUCCACCGGGCCUUUGGUGUUCGGCCUUUACUUGCUAACAACUCGGACAUUUUGUCACAAAGUCCGCCACAUCUUUCUUCAUGUUAUUCCAACAAUAAAUUUCCUUGAGAUCAUGAUACAUUUUCAUGGAACGUGGGUCCACGGAAUACCUGGAAGUGUGAGCUUAUGCCAUAAUCCUUUCCCGAAGACUGUCGAUAUCAGGAACACAUAGGCGGUCUUGGUACCGUAGGGUACUAUCAUUCAUGCCCAAGGAAAAAGCUGUAGUUUUGUGUUUGAGAAUCCCCUCUUUCAGUUAUGCUAUCAACGGAUCAACAAAUUGCUUCUCUUUCACCUCUGCCACAAGCGAUGAUUCAGCCCUAUUCUGCACAAUUACCGCUCCUUCAUUAGAGUCCGCAAGGCGAACUCCCAAACUAGCCAACUGGUGAACCUCCUGGCCAACGGCCUCUAAUGGGCCUCCAAAUGAGCUAAACUUCCCAUGGAUUUUCGACUAAGUGCAUCUGCCACAACAUUAGCCUUUCCUGGGUGAUAGAGAAUAUCAAUGUCAUACUCCUUGAGUAACUCUAGUCAUCUUCUUUGCCUCAGAUUCAACUCUUUCUGCUUGAAAAUAUAUUGAAGGCUCUUAUGAUCCGUAAAUACAUCCACAUGGACCCCAUACAAAUAAUGUCGCCAAAUCUUUAGCGCAAACACCACUGCUGCUAGCUCUAAGUCAUGGGUUGGAUAGUUCUUCUCAUGAUUCUUGAGUUGCCUAGAAGCAUAGGCUAUAACCUUGCCGUGUUGCAUUAACACACACCCAAGCUCGACUCUCGAAGCAUCGCAAUACACUACAAACCCCUUUGUACCCUUUGGCAGGGCUAACACCGGUGUUGUUGUCAAUCUUGACUUCAAUUCUUGGAAACUCUUUUCACAAGCAUCGAACCACUGGAAUUUAACUGCUUUUUGCGUCAAUUUAGUCAAUGGAGAGACAAGAGUAGAAAACCCCUCCACAAACCUCCUAUAAUACCCAGCUAAAUCCAAGAAACUACAAAUUUGAGUUGGAGUGGUAGGCCUAGGACAAUUCUUCACUGACGCAAUCUUUUGAGGAUCAACCAUAAUUCCUUCCCCGGAAACAACAUGACCUAAGAACGCCACAGAUUCAAGCCAAAAUUCUCAUUUUGAAAAUUUAGCAUACAAUUGAUGUUGCUUAAGAGUCUGCAAAAUUGCCCUGAGAUGGCCAGUGUGGUCCUCCCGACUUUGGGAAUACACAAGAAUAUCAUCAAUAAACACUAUCACAAAGGAGUCUAGAAAGGGCUUGAAGACUCGAUUCAUAAGAUCCAUGAAAGCUGCCAGGGCAUUUGUCAGCCCAAAAGACAUUACCAUAAAUUCAAAGUGCCCAUACAUGGUUCUAAAGGCUGUUUUGGAAUAUCCUGCUCCCUUAUCUUCAAUUGAUGGUGCCCGGACUGCAAGUCAAUCUUUGAGAAACAUAUAGCACCCUGUAGUUGGUCAAAUAAGUCAUCUAUUCUUGGCAAAGGAUAUUUGUUAUUGUGACUUUGUUGAGUUGUCGGUAGUCAAUACACAUUCGCAACGACCUAUCUUUCUUCCUUACAAACAAGACCGGUGCGCCCCAUGGUGACACACUCGGCCGGAAAAAACCCUUUUCCAGCAAAUCCUUCAAUUGUUCCUUUAGCUCUUUCAGUUCUGCUGGUGCCAUUAUGUAAGGUGUAAUUGAUAUAGGUUGUGUGCCUAGUAUCACAUUGAUCCCAAAAAUCAAUCUACCUAUCCGGUUGAAUCCCAGGGAGUUCAUCUGGAAAGACAUCCGGAAAUUCAUUCACAACUGGUACAGACUCAAGGCUAAGCGCCUUGGCAUUGGUGUCCAUGACCCGAACUAGAUGAUAGAUACACCCCUUCUUGAUCAUCUUCGCAGCCUUAAGGUAGGAAAUAAACCGACUUCUAGGCACUACAUUAUCUCCCUUCCAUUCAAUAACGGGCUCAUUAGGAAAUUCAAGCCUAAUGGUUCUAGUCCGACAAUCAAGUUUGGCAAAGCAUGAAUAAAGCCAAUUCAUUCCCAUUAUUACAUCAAAGUCGACCAUCCCUAACUCAAUAAGAUCGACUGCGGUAUCCCUACCCCAGACCGUAACAACACAUCCCCUAUAAACCCGAGCAGCUGUAAUAGACUGACCAACUGGGGUAGACACCAAAAAGUGCUCAUGAAGCUGAUCCGGCUCUAUCCCGAAUCCCAUAGCAACAAAAGGGGAAAUAUAGGAGAAGGUGAAACCAGGGUCAAUAAGUGCAUACACAUCAUGACAUUGGACAGUCAGAAAACCUGUAACAAAAUCUGGAGAAGCCUCUACAGUCUGGCGACCACUCAUAGCAUAAAACCAGCUAGGUCCUCCUGAACUCUGCGCACCACCCCUAGCUGCACCACGCCCUGCGGGUGCUUGGGUACCUCGAGUUGGGGAGGGGGCUGAAGAUGGAGCAGCUACCUGGCUGGAUGACUGAGUUGUGCCCCUACCCUCUCCCUGGCAGGAUGCACGACAAUGCCUCUGAAUAUGAACCCUCAUCCUAAAUCCAUAGCAUAUAGGUAACUCUAGAUAGCAAGUACCUGAGUGCAUCUUCCCGCACCUGGGGUACGAGGACCUCUGCUGCUACUGGAACCUCUCUCCUGACCGACCCCACUGAUGAGAUCCCCUACUGCCCUGACUGUGCCUGAAAUGACUCAACUACUGCUGGCUGGGCCCUGACGGUGGUGCACUAGCUGAAGACUGUGCAAUAGACUAGGAAGGCCCUGAUGAUCCUCUCUUGAAAGCUGAUCUUCCCGCACAUAGUGACUCUCCCAUAUUUUCGGUAGACCGGGCCUUGCUGCUACCCUCUCUCUCCAUUUUGUUUUUAAUUUACGAUUCUCUGUGGCCUGAGCACACGCUACCAUCUUCCUAUAAUUCAUGUUGGAAUUCAAUGCAGCCGUAGAAGCCUCAUUAAUGGUCAAAGAAUUAAUGCCUUGAACAAACCGGCGCGCCCUGGUCUCCAUUGUGGGCAACAUAUGGAUGGCAUACUUGGACAAGCGAGCAAACUCCAUGUGGUACUCUCACACACUUCUGUUACCUUGCCUCAAAUUUUCAAACUCUGCCGCACAGGUUGCCCUUGUCUCAGCGGGCAGGAAAUGGUCAAUAAAGGCAUCAUUAAACUCGCUCCACCUCGCCAGAGGGCGCCCCUCCUCUCGGGAAUCCUCCCAUAACUCAAACCAUGAAUAGGCCACCCCUUUCAAACGAUAGGCAACCAACUCUACUACUUUUGUCUCAGUUCUUCGCAUAACCCUGAGGGUCUUGUGCAUCUCAUCAAUAAAAUCCUAAGGGUCUUAUUCUGGAUUGGCACCUGUAAACACCGGAGGGUCUAACUGAAGAAAUCUGUUCACUCUAGAACUAGUAGAAUUCCCUUGCUGGCUGGAUGAACUAGGCGCAACAUUCGACCUCUUGGCCUGGGAGGCCACUAGUUGGGUUAACAUCUGAAUAGCUCCCCUAGGAUCCCCAUCCAAAAUACCAGAACCGGAAGCUGGAGCUAGAGGUGGGAUAGGAGUAUCAACAGGAGGGAUGGUUGUACCCUUCACGGGUGUGGGAACUGGGGUAGUCUGCUAUGGAGUAGAAGAAUCAGGUAGAGCGAUAGCAGGGCGGCUACCCUCAUCCACAGUAUCAAGCAGUGAAUCAUCAGCCACUACUGAGGUGGCAUUAGCUGCUUGGCCAAUUCUCGCUUUCUUCUUAGGUGCCAUUUACUCAAAGAUAGAACAUUGCAUUUAUUAUAGAAGGACAGUUUCAACGCACGAUCCAGAACAUCAAAGAAGGGUGUUAUUCCUAAAUGCCCAAGAAGCCUCCAACUUAUAGAUGUGGUCGACUACACACCGAUAAGAAGGACUCUAAUAGACACGGCUCCGAGACAUCCUAGGACACUUUAAAACCUUAGGCUUUGAUACCAAGUUUGUCAUGCCCCAACCUCAGGAGGUGCGACCGGCGCUCAAUAGAGUGAUCCCAACUGAGCAAGCCUUAUCAAACACUACCUACCCAGCUCAAUAUGAAUAAGGACAUCAAGCUUCCAUUUAUUUAACCAAGGGAAGAUAGUUCAUCCCACAUUACUAGUUCAUUUUAAAUCACCACAUCAAACCAUAAAUGAGUUCCGAGGUUCCAUACAUUUAUACUUUAGAGAAACGGGAAUUAGAGUUACAACAUAGUUAGUACACCCAUCUGACACCCGCACAUGACCCAUACAUAUGUCUACGAAGCCUCUAAGGAUGUAAAAGACAAGUAUGACAAUGCCGGCAACAAGGUCCCGGCUAUACCUCAAAAGUGAAAGUCCACAACACAAAGAUAUACAAUAUAGCCCCUUGAAGGAGAAAGGGGAUCACCAAGAUCUUGAGAAGAGGGAUGCUUCGCUACACAUGACCGGCACUAUCCGCUACGGAGCCACCAACAUUCAUUAAAAAAAAUGUAGCGCCCCCGGCAAAAGGGACAUUAGUGCCAUCAAAUAGAACUAGUAUGUAUAACUAAACACCAUCAAAUUAGAAAGAACUUUCAUACACAAAUAAGGAAAUCACAAGUAUCACACCAAAGCUUUAAACGAUCACAACAUUAUCAACAUGAAAGAAUUACACAACCUUCACAUCAUGUUUCCAUAGCCUUUAGUUGGGCAUUUCAUACUGUUCCACACCGUUCACAUUACUAUCGCUAUCUUGAGCGGAGUUUGAUCUCGACCCGAUCGGCUAGGCCGUCUCUCGAAGAUGUUACCAAUAUUCUAUUCACAUUUUCCAGUUUCAAUCAUCAUGCAUACUCGCCAUGUGUAUAUGUCAUGGCGUUCGAUCACAGCCCGAUCGGCUAGGCCGCCUUACCGAGGCGUUGCCAUUUUCCAUUAUUCAUCUCACUCCAAUCUUUGGUUACACAUGUAUUAGUUUACCGGCACAUGGGGCCACAAUUUUCACAUUCCACAAUUCACGUUUCACAUUGUUCCCAUUUUCAACAUUAGGUUUGUAAUUCAAGAGAGUAUAGCACACAAGAGAAAAUAAGGUUGUAGGCAUAGAUGAGACUUCAUAUAAAUGGCACAACAACGCACUUCAAUUUCAAUGUAAGGACUAAGCAUUUUGAUACAUGAUUCAUAGUCCUUGCACCUUUUCAAAUUAUCAAAAAUAGCACGGUGAUCAAUUUGAGACACAGUUUCCAUGCAUAUAAGGUUGCAACACAAAGUCAAGUGAAAUAGCAAUCAAUACAACAAUUCAAUUUAGUCUUAUCGUACUCACACAACCAACGAUGAAGCUCAAUUUCUAAAAGAUGGGGUUUUCCUUGUUCGUUACAAAAUUCCGGAACAUUUAGCACUUCGAUCUAUUAUGUAAUAAUUACAUUUAAACCGAGAAUUAGAGACGAGAUUGAGAUUCUAGCUUGUUUUGAGCAUACUAUCAAACACUAAAGGGGCAUUGUGAUCUUAGGCCCUUUUUGAGAGAAAUUUCAAUCAUUCUAUACCCCAAUUGGUUUUCUUUUUAGUUCAAUACCCCCCAACACUCUAAGCUUUGAAAUGCAUGCAAGAAAUCCACUCUUAUACCAAUGAAUUGCCUCACUAAUGACCCCCUUAUAGCUAAGUAUUAAAAAAUAAGAGCUGAGGUGAUGAAGCCUUACCUCUUGGGAUGAGGUUUUGGGUCCCUCACUUGAUUAUCUUCAAUGAUAUAUCAAGGAUUCAUAGAGUAAUUUGAUGAGAAACACUUUCCCUUUCUUAGACCCCUCUCUCUCACUCUAGAAAUAUCAGGAAAUAGGCUCAGAAUGAGCUAUUACACCGAAUAUAACGAUAGGGGUCGGGUUUAAAAUUUAGAAAAUUGUAGCCCCGAGUCAGAUCUGCGAUCGCCUUUUGUGAUCGCAAAGUCGACAUGCAGUCCGCAUAAUGGACCGCAAAAACACUCCCCUAAAACCUGAACACACUGUCUGGGUAUGCGGCAGAAAUGUGGUCCGCAUACCCAUUCUGCAUUCAUAGAAUGCACCACAGAACUGCCCCUUGCAGAAUACCAAGGGAAUUAUGCGACGACUAUGCGGUCCACAUAUCGGUUAUGCGAUAGCAUAAUCGACCUCAUAGUUGACCUCAAAUUGACCAACACACUAACUCACUUUGUAACGACUAUGCGGUCUGCAUACCUGAUAUGCGACCGCAUUCUUGACCGCAAAAUUGCAUUUUUCUUGAAAAUAUUGUUUCUUGACUCUUUAGAGCAUAGAUCAGUCAAAAAAGUUACGCAUCAUUAACACAUGAUCCUAAUUUCCACUUCGAGCUUUCGGGUUUAGAGUGGAAAUUUUCACGGGGCCUCACAGUAUACCCUUAUUUACGUCAAUUUGUUAGUAAUGAAUGAGAAGGAAAAAUGUUCCCUUUAGUGUUCCAUACAGAGAACGUUUUGUGUAGUGGGGGGUUUGAAUUUGCUUCAAGCAUUGUGUGCUUAUGAUUGUUAUCGAAAGAAUUGAUGCAAGUCAUAAACUAUGGUCAUUGGGAACUAUUUGUGUGUUUGAAGCAGAACGUUUGGACUUAACUUUUUAGCCCAUUCACAACUGUCAAUAUUAAGCUAGUGAAUCAUAUGAACAUCCAUAGGUUGCCUUAAUUUAGUACAAAUCUUUUAAAAUAAAUUUAGGCGUGCCAUCUACAAAUAAAUCCUAUAAUCCAUGGCCCUCACAUAAAAACAAAACUAGUGUAUAAAACACUUUGAACAUUCGUAGUUUGCUUUAGGCACGUUUAUAAUAAAUUAUCAUGGUUAUGGGUACGGUUCCCGUGACAUAGUUAUGAUAUCUAAUUCCCAAAUUCUGGAGUGCAUUUCAUGUAACUCGAUCAUAACAACUUCGAAUGUUAAUAAAAUAAAUAUAUCACGAACCGCGGGUGCAUUUCAUGUAACGUGGUUUAAGACGUGUUUUAAAUAACAUUGAAUCUUCCUAAAAGCGGUUUAAAUUAAUUAAAAGCGGUUAUAAAUAUAAAAUGCACAAUAGGUUAAACAUGUAAUAAAUCGGAUGAUAGGCCAACUUUAAUAGUUUAAGCGACCGUGCUAGAACCACGGAACCUGAAAAUGUCCAACACCUUCUCCCUGGUUAACAAAAUUCUUUAUCUAGAAUUUUUGGUUCGUGAACUUUUAAAUAAAGUCGAAAAUUUCCUCGAUUUGGGAUUAUAAAAUAAACCGGUGACUUGGGACACCAAUAAUUAUUUCAAGUGGCGACUCUAAAAAAUUAAAUAAAAUAAUCUCAUUUCUAAUAAUGUCACUUUAAUUGGAAAAACUCACGUAUACCCCCUCGAGUGUAAAAAGGAGGUGUGACAGCUCUGGCGACUCCCUAGUUGAGUUUAUUUUAGACAUAGGGUCUCCACUCCCUAGUCUCUUUUCCAACAUAGGGUCUCCACUCCUUAGUUGAGUUUAUUUUAGACAUAGGGUCUCCAUUCCCUAGUCGCUUUUCCAACAUAGGGUCUUCAUUCCCUAGUUGAUUAUAUUUUAGACAUAGGGUCUCCACACCCUAGUAUGCUUUUCCAACAUAGGGUCUUCACUCCCUAGUUGAAGUUAUUUUAGACAUAAGGUCUCAACUCCCUAUUCGUCUUUCCAACAUAGGGUCUCCACUCCCUAGUUGAUUUUAUUUUAAACAUAGGGUCUCCACUCCCUAGUCGCUUUUCCAACAUAGGGUCUCCACUCCCUAGUUGAUUUUAUUUUAGACAUAGGGUCUCCACUCCCCAGUCGCCUUUCCAACAUAGGGUCUCUACUCGCUAAUUGAGUUUAUUUUAGACAUAGGGUCUCCAUUCCCUAGUCGUCUUUCCAACAUAGGGUCACCACCCCGUAGUUGAGUUUAUUUUAGACAUAGGGUCUCCACUCCNNNNNNNNNNNNNNNNNNNNNNNNAGUUGAGUUUAUUUUAUACAUAGGGUCUCCACUCCAUAGUGGCUUUUCCAACAUAGGGUCUCCACUCCCUAGUUGAUUUUAGUUUAGAUAUAGGGUCUCCAUUCUCUACUCUCUUUUUUUCCAAGGAUACACCAUCCUGACUUUUAUUGCUUUCAAUAAAAAAAUAGUUUAGAUUUUGUUACAGUAACUAACGAAAUUUUCCUAGUGAAACUGGGGCAGAAAAUUUCGUUCGUUUGUUUGCUUUGGUGCAUGAACAGGUUUUCACCGUGAGGCACAAUGUCACGACCCUAACCCGGACCCGGUCAUGAUGGCGCCUCUCGUAAAGACAAGGCCAGCCAACUAUUCCCAAUUCGAUGUUAAACAAUAAAAAAACAGCAGUAAAAUAGUCUAAGACAUGAUUAAUAAUACGAAGUAGUAGAUAAUAUCGAUAAAAAUGUGGAAAUACAAUCCAACACAGCCCUAACUAGGGUGUCACAAGUCACUAGCAUCUACUGGGGUCUAAAUACAACUAAAAAGUCUAAAACGUAAAAAAUACGGACUAAUGAAAUAAAAAGGGAGAAAAGUAGUGUUGCGAAUGCCGGAAGCUACCUUGCUAAACUCUGAUAACUCUGCCUCCGAUCAGGCAAUACCCGCUAUCGGAUUCAGAAAUACCUGAAUCUGCACACAAGGUACAGGGAGUAAAGAGAUUACUCCAACUCAGUGAGUAAUAAUCAUAACUAAAGUCUGAAUGGUAAGAAAUCACGAAAAGUGCAUCAACAUGCUGUAUAGAAGCAGUUCAAAAACCAGUAAGAAAGCAAUGAAGCUGUAAAAUCUCUUAAAAUAUCUUAACUUAGUUUAAACUUCUUUGAAAAUGACUUUUUCAACAGUUGCGCAAAUGAAUGCAAAACAAUUAGUGCAGAUAAGCACAGAAAUCUGCCCCUCAGGCACAAUUACAUAAUUAAACAGGUACAUGACAGGCAAAUAAGAAAGAUAAGAACAUAAGGUUCGUCCCCCGAGCACAAUGUCAACCAAUCCACCCCUCGGGCAAUAUCUUAGAACAAUACCAGCCCCUCGGGCUAUAUCUCACAUCACAAUGGGCACCCGCGCUGACUGGGGUGUGCAGACUCCUGGAGGGGCCCCUUAUGGCCCAAGCGCAAUAUCAAGCCACCUCGUGGCAUCAUAAACAGGCUUUCGGCCUCACAUCAAUAUCAACAAGCCACCUCGUGGGGUACAUAUCUCAGGCCCUCGACCUCAUAAUCAAAUCAGUUUAUCACCGAUGCAGCGUGUAGCCCAACCCAAAAGUAUCCUCACAACACAGACCCUCGGCCUUACUCGGUCAAAAAUUACAUAAGCCACUCGGGCAAUAGUAAAACAUGAUGCACAACCCAAAAUAUGAUUUAAAAUAUCAUUUCAAGUGUUAAAGCAGAGUAAACAUGGUUGAGUUUUGAAAACAGUUGAAUAUAGCAUGACUGAGUACAAGUUUAAAGUCAGAACAGUGAGGAAAUAUCAAUAAAAAUCCGUGAAGAGUUCAAAUAGUUGGCACGAAGCCCAAAUAUGGCAUUCAGCCCAAAUAAUGAUGAUAACAAAUAGAUUUCAGUCAAAUAUACGGUAAAAUCAUCAAAUGGGACGGACCAAGUCACAAUCUCCAAUAGUGCAUGACCCCACGCUCGUCAUCAAGCGUGUGCCUCACCUCAAUAUAGCACUAUGAUGUGCAAUCCGGGGUUUCAAACCCUCGGAACAUCAUUUACAAUCAUUACUCACCUCGAUCUCGUCCAACCUCUAGCCCACGAUGCCUUCGCCCACACAAAUCGACCUCUGAAUGCUCCAAAUCUAGCCACAAUCAGUACAUAAUCAUUAAAAUAUGCAAAGGGAAUGAAGCCCACUCGAAAAUAUCCAAUUUACAUCCAAAUCCCAAAAUUGCUCAAACCCGGCCCCCGGGCCCACGUCUCGAAACUCGAUAAAAUUAACAUCAAUGGAAUCCUCAUCCUCUCACGAGUUCAACAUAUCAAAUUUACCAAAAUCCGACCUCAUCUGGUUACUCAAAUUCUAAAAAUUCACUCUCCAAUUUCAAGCCCUUAAUUCCCAAUUCUUCCUCUAUUUUCCCCGAAAUUUUCAAGAUUAAACAAUGGUAUAAUCACCGUAAACACAAGGUAUAAAGCCCAAGUAACUUACCUCUGUGGAUACACUUGAUCCUCUCUUGAUAUCAUAGCUUAGAGCUCCAAAAUCGCACAAUAAUGGUGAACAAAUGACUGAAAAUCGCGAAGGGGCAUUUUUAUACCUUCUGCCCAGCUCUUUCGCACCUGCGAUCCUAUAAGCGCAUUUGCGCCUUCGCUUCUGCGGAAAAACAUCCGCUUCUUCGGAUUUCACUCAUGACACCAGGAUCCUUAUCUGCGGUCAAUCCAUGCACCUGCGGUACCGCAUUUGCGGUUUCUCACCCGCUUCUGCGGAAAUCACUAAACAACCGAAACUAUGCAUCUGCGAUCACACUUCCGCAUCUGCAGCUCCGCAGAUGCGGUCCAUAUAGCCGCUUCUGCGGUUUCUGCUCCUCAAUCCCUUUUCCGCUUCUACGACUAAAACUCUGUUUAUGAUGCACUGCACCUGCGGUCCCCAAUCCACAGGUGCGAAAAUACCAGAAGCAGCAAAUUCAACAGUUGCAACAAAAUCCAAACUUCUCCGUCAACCAUCUGAAAUCACCCUGAGGACCCGGGACCUCGACCAAAAGCACCACCAUAUUCUAAUACCUUAUUUAAACUUAUUCCGUUCAUCGAAACAAACACAUCGGAUUCAAUCCAAACUUUCUAAAAUCUUCCGAAUUUCGCUUUUGAUAAAAAAUCCAACCAAACCACAUCCAAAUGACCUGAAGUUUUGCACACACAUCCCAAAUGACACAACGGAACUACUGUAACUUCCGGAAUUCCAUUCUGAUCUCUAUAUCAAAAUCUGACCUAUAAACCGGAAAAUGCCAAAAUCUCAAUUUCGCCAAUUCAAGCAUAAACCUUCCACGGAUUCCAAAAUGCAUUCACAUCGCGCUCCUAAGUCCAAAAUCACCUAAUGGAGCUAACCAAAUCAUAAAAAUUCAGAUCCGAGAUCAUCUAUAAACAAGUCAAAUCUUGGUCAAACCUUUCGAAUUACAAGCUUCAAACUGAGAACUGUUCUCCCAAAUCUCAUGAUGAUUACCUUGAAAAUCAAAACCAAUGAUUUACAUGAGUCAUAAUACAUCACACGGGGCAAGUCAUCCCCGAGAACUGGCGAGCCAAGUGCAAAAGCUCAAAACGAUCAGUCGGGUCGUUACAUCCUCCCCAACUUAAACAUACGUUCAUCCUCGAACGUGCCCAGAGUUGUUCUAAAAGCCAACCAAUCGCUGAAUAACCCUACCAUGCAUAUACUCGGGGGUGAUCUCAUGUCACUUUAUCUCAUAUAGGUCCAAUAACACAUUGUAACUGAAAUUUCACAUCCCAAUCUAGCCCAUAAACCAUAGAACCACAUUUCCACUUUUGAAAUCAUCAAUACGAUCAGAAUCUCACAUUUAUACUUUGAAUAAGUCCGAAGAAGCUAUAACAAACCAUAUCUGCUAACUCAGGUGCAAUCACAUGAUAUACCACAUAACUCAAACACUUGUAGUGAUAACUUCUAAUCACAGCAGCUGUACACAACACCCGAAUAUUGAUAGAAAACUCUUAUCAACCCAAGUCUCAUCCCAACACUUUGAUAUACUGCCAAUAAUCACUAAAACACGCGGUAAGCCAUAACCAUUUCCCAGAUCAACAAUUCAUGAAGCAACUUCUCCUUUGGCAAAUACCACAGCAAAUUUCUGAGCCGAAGCUCGAUAUUAUCCUUCCAACAUGCUGAAAUCGAAUUCGUUCAUAUUCAUUAAUGAUCCCAACGAUCUCCUCUAAUCCAACACACUACUCUGGUGACAUGACACAUCAAUACAGGCCUAAGGCACAACUUGCACAAUACGCGCACCGACAAGCAACUAUCCGAACAUACUCAAUCAUGAAAAUGACUCAAAUGAAAGAGUUGUAUCUCAUGCUCACCAGUACCACCACAACACAAGGCUGAGAACCCGUCUCACAUCAUAGGAACAGAACACACGAAUCCAACCCGCAAGGUCAUACCUCCACAUACCUUCGAUGCAACGCGUGAUCCUAUCCAAACACUGCUCCACAUGAAAAACCUCAAGUCACUCUGAUCAAAAUUGACGACCACGCGCAGUUGAUGUCUAGAACCAAAUAAAUCAUCAUAACUACGGUAAAGCAAGUACGUAACACCGCACCAUAUGUGCUUAUAACUCACAAAUCCUAACACCUCACAACACAAAAAGGUAACUGAUAGAUCUCCCUAGAUUACUAAUAAGCUCAAUAACAAUCGAAUCAACACAUCCCCCAACCAUACAAUUCGGAGACAAUCAAGCCGACUUAAGUUAGAACAUGCAUCCACAUUGGCCUACCAACGAACUCCUUAUCAAGGAAAUCAUGAAGCUCCUCUUUCGACUCCUUUAACCCUUCCGGGCUAUACGAUACGGUGCCCAACAUCAAAUUAAUGCUGAAAUCAACAACCUUGCCUGGUGACAUGCCCGACCACAAGAAACACAUCCGAAAAGUCCCUCACCACCGGGACUGAAUCAAUGGUAGAAGCCUUUGCACUGACAUCUAUCACAAAAUCCCCCACUAAGAAAGACAAUCCUUCCUAGCCGUCUGUUGGGUCUUCGAAAUAUAAACCACUCUACUAGCACAUAAUCCAUCGAACCUCACCACUCAAUCCGUGGCAUUUCCAGCAUAGCCAACAGUGCUGCCUUAGCGCAAUAGUCUAGAAUGACACAACAUAGAGACAACCAGUCUGAACCCAAUAUCAUAUCCAAAUUCUAACAUAUCAAGCAACAAAAGAUCUGCUCGGGUCUCCAAACCCCGAUAUUUACUAGACAGUGCCGAUACACGCGAUCCACCACCAUAACAUAGCCUGAACAUGAGAAUUCCCAGUCUCCAACUCCAUAUAGCACACGAAUCACCAUACUUGAUCCCAAUUCCACCGUCCGAAGGUAUACCACACCUCAAAUACCCAAUAAUUCCACGAGAGAUACUCUAAAAUUCUUCUGUGCCACCAAGCAAACUCGAAUAUUAGUAGCCGAUCUACCAAGAAAGUGCCGCAAUACUAUCAAAGUACCAUCAACUUAAUCACAUUGCCUUUUUCUGAAACAUAAACCCUCGUCAAAUCACCCCAAAUUAGCAAUACCAUUUCCUUAAUCAUCCGAAGACCCUUUCUCUAAUUAUCUGAAGCUCAUUUCUCUAAUUGUCUGAGACUGCCCGCUGCCUAAGAGUUUUAUGACCUUCCUUUUAGAACUGAACUAUAGCCUUACGCAAUCUCAAUCCUCCACAGAAUACCGCAUAUACCAUAUCACCCUAGGAUAACAUGAGGACUUCAUAUAUCUUCCGAGCCACCAGCAACUAUGUACCCAACCAACCAAGACUUCCCAUUGAAAUCAUCCGGAAGAAAAUCACUACACAUCUCAUGCCCCUCAUACUAGUAUAAAAUAUACAUCUCUAGCCACGGUAGAAAUCAACAAGAACUCUCUGCCUCCCUUUUGCACAAACAAGUCAGUCAGGAUUGAAUCUUCCUAACUCAAUCACCUACGCAGACAACUAAAACCUAAGAGCAUUGUCGCAAAAUACCCGUAAAAACUCAUUACCUCGAACACCCCCAAGGAACGAAUCAUAUCCUUAUCAUACCGGUCCGGUCUGCUAUCAAGCUAUCCCAUCUAUCCAAGCUCCCUUUUGAUCUACCUUCGACUUGAUACUCCUUCAUGCUAUAACAUCAUCAUUCCUUAACCCAGACUUACCACACGAGACCCAAGUAUAAAACCAUACUGUUCAAGGCUCAUAAGCUGCUGAGUACUCUCUCAAAUGUUUCCAAAAGCACCACGUUCAAAAUGAUUACCCUGAAGAGACUUCCUAUGAAUCCAAAGCCAUUACCUUCACCUUCCUGAAACUGAUAUAUAGAAUCCCAUAAUUAAUAUAGAAAAUACCAUAAGUCUUGCCAUCUUCCAAUGAAAACUCAGUUUCUAGCCACAUAUACAACUUGAAGAUACCCAAUUGUUACAUGUAAAAUCUUGAACCCAUUAGAACCAUUCCCGAGAGUCAUCCACUCUACUCAAACUACAAUUAUCUUGAUCAAACGAACCGAACAACCCGUGCCUUAUUGGCACGCUGACACCGCAGAAUGUGAGAUCAUUCCAUUACAACCAAGCAACUUCCUACUCUAUGAACCGAGCAUCCUUUACCAACAACGACUCAAGACAUACCGUGAUUUUCACACAUCUGUGAAGCAUCCUAUAAUCUUUGUUUAGAAUUUUUCCUUUACUCAAGCCAUCCUCGGUCUCAAUCUCCGUAGGCCAUAAGUGAUUCACCUAGACGCCUCAAACUGGAACCGAUAUAGCACAUAACCGUGCAAUCAACUAAUCAAUAGCAGACUCCCCCACUUGGCUCGAAGCCAUAGAUCAACACACACUCAAUAACUCAUAAUGCUUAUACUUUAUUGAUUCCAUAAUACCAUAGGGAGAUUAAACUCAAAAUCCUUUGCAAGCUUGUGAAACAUAGAUCAUCUAGAAUUUUAACUCUUCUGCAAAUCUCACAUUCACUCUGACAACAGUUACACCCACUCUCUAAGCGACCCAAUUUAAAUUACAACACAUAUCUUUCGCUCGCAAAUAAGAUCUUCUAACAGACGCAUAAGGAUCGCUCAACCUCAGAACACUUUGCAGGAAAUAACCCACCUAUUUUGCCUCCAACUAACAUUUCUAUAUACCUCCCCACCGUUAUAAACUGUACGCAGUUACUUAGUCCUCCUGAAUCUGAACUCAUACCGCAAUUUGAAAUUUACUUCACUCACAACUGGGAAAUAUGAAAAGAUUCUUCACACGCCCCUAACUCGGGGCUAUACCUCCAAUCGAGAUGAAAAUAAAGCACCUAAUAGUUCUUCUAUCCUCCAGCAGACCCUUCUCGUCAUUUCCAAAUCAUAUGGGUAAAUCUUGCAGUACUAACAUACUCAUCACAUAGCAUCCCGCCGUCACUUCCACUAAUAGGGACACUGCCGAACAUAUAAGUUCAAAAACACUUGCUCACACAGUCAGCACCUCGGUGCUCAAGCUAUAGGCAAAGAUCCAGUCUCAAGUCCUCCUGACUGGCCCAACAUCAACUCACAGAGAUCACAUCUCGCCCCUCUAUCAGGGAGUCACAAGCCAUCAAUGCACAUCUGAUACUGAGCGCUUAUGCGCGCAUACAAAUGCGUGGAAGGAAUUCAAAGAGUUACAUUUCAAGUUGAAUCAAGGACGCACGAUAAGAAUUCAAGAAUGUGAAGUUUCUCCUAAAGGUUAUGCAGCCUCUCGAGGAUAAAUACAGACGUCUCCGUAUAAAUCCUCGAGACUCUAUUAAACCUACUCAUGAUUCGUGAGACCUAUGUAACCUAGGCUCUGAUACCUACUUGUCACGACCCUAACCCGGACCCGAUCGUGAUGGCGCCUCUCGUGAAGACAACGCCAACCAACUAUUCCCAAUUCAACGUUAAAAAGUAAAAAACCAACACUAAAACAGUCUAAGACAUGAUUAAUAAUAUGAAGUAGCAGAUAAUAUCGAUAAAAAUGCGGAAGUACAACCCAACACAGCCCUAACCGGGGUGUCACAAGUCACGAGCAUCUACUGGUGUCUAAAUACAACUGAAAAGUCUGAAACGUACAAAAUAUGGACUAAUGAAAUAAAGAGGGAGAAAAGCAAUGCUGCGAACGCCGACAACUACCUUGCUAAGCUCCGAUGACUCUGCCUCCGAUCAGCCAAUACUCGCUACCGAGUUCAAAAAUACCUGAAUCUGCACACAAGGUGCAGGGAGUAAAGUGAGUACUCCAACUCAGUGAGUAAUAAUCAUAACUAAAGUCUGAAUGGUAAGAAAUCACAAAAAGUGCAUUAACAUGUUGUAUAGAAGCAGUUCAAAAACUAGUAAGAAGCAAUGAAUCUGUAAAAGCUCUUAAAAUAUCUUAGCUAAGUUUAAAAAUCUUUGAAAAUGACUUUUUCAACAUAUACGAAAAUGAAUGCAAAACAAUUAGUGCAGAUAAGCACAGAAAUCCGCCCAUCAAGCACAAUUACACAAUUAAACAGGUACAUGAUAGGAAAAUAAGAAAGAUAUGCACAUAAGGUUCUCCCCUCGGGCACAAUGUCAACCAAUCUGCUCCUCGGGCAAUAUCUCAGAAUAAUACCUGCCCCUCGGGCUGUAUCUCACAACACAAUGGGUACCCGCGCUCACUAGGGGUGUGCAGGCUCCUGGAGGGGCCCCUUACGACCCAAGCGCAAUAUCAAGCCACCUCGUGGCAUCAUAAACAGGCUCUCGACCUCAUAUCAAUAUCAACAAGCCACCUCGUGGCGUACAUAUCUCAGGCCCUUAGCCUCAUAUCAAAUCAGUGUAUCACCGCUGCGGCAUGCAGCCCGACGCAAAAGUAUCCUCACAACACAGUCCCUCGGCCUUACUCAGUCAAAAAAUCACAUAAGCCACUCGGGCAACAGUAAAACAUGAUGCCCAACCCAAAAUAUGUUUUAAACUAUCAUUUUAAAAUUUAAAGCAGAGUAAACAUGGUUGAGUUUUGAAAACAUUAGAAUAUAGCAUGACUGAGAACAAGUUUAAAGUCAAAACAGUGAGGAAAUAUCAAUAAAAUCCCUUAAGGGUUCAAAUAAUUGGCACGAAGCCCAAAUAUGGCAUUCAGCCCAAAUAAUGAUGAUAGCAAAUAGAUUUCAGUCAAAUAUGCGGUAAAAUCAUCAAUCGGGACGGACCAAGUCACAAUCCCCAAUAGUGCAUGAUCUCACGCUCGUCAUCAAGCGUGUGCCUCACCUUAAUAUAGCACUAUGAUAUGCAAUCCGAGGUUUCAAACCCUCAGAACAUCAUUUACAAUCAUUACUCACCUCGAUCCUAUCCAACCUCUAGCCCGUGAUGCCUUCGCCCGCACAAAUCGACCUCCAGAUGCUUCAAAUCUAGCCAUAAUCAUUACGUAAUCAUUAAAAUAUGCAAAUGGAACGAAUCUCACUCGAAAAUAUCCAAUUUACAUCCAAAUCCCGAAUUUGCUCAAACUCGGCCCCUGGGCCCACGUCUCGAAACUCGAUAUUAACAUCAAUAGAAUCCUCAUCCUCUCACGAGUUCAUACAUAUCAAAUUUACCAAAAUCCGACCUCAUNNNNNNNNNNNNNNNNNNNNNNNNNNNNNNNNNNNNNNNNNNNNNNNNNNNNNNNNNNNNNNNNNNNNNNNNNNNNNNNNNNNNNNNNNNNNNNNNNNNNNNNNNNNNNNNNNNNNNNNNNNNNNNNNNNNNNNNNNNNNNNNNNNNNNNNNNNNNNNNNNNNNNNNNNNNNNNNNNNNNNNNNNNNNNNNNNNNNNNNNNNNNNNNNNNNNNNNNNNNNNNNNNNNNNNNNNNNNNNNNNNNNNNNNNNNNNNNNNNNNNNNNNNNNNNNNNNNNUUUUUCAUGAUUUAAACAAUGAUAUAAUCACCGUAAACACAAGGUAUAAAGCCCAAGUUGCUUUACUCUGUGGAUACACUUGAUCCCCUCUUGAAAUCAUAGCUUGGAGCUCCAAAUCGCACAAUAAUGGUGAACAAAUGACUGAAAAUCGCGAAGGGGCAUUUUUAUACCUUCUGCCCAGCUCUUUUGCACCUGCGAUCUUAUAAGCGCAUCUACGUCUCCGCUUCUGCGGAAAAACACCCGCUUCUACGGAUUUCACUUAUGACACCAGGUCUCGCAUCUGCAGUCAAUCCAUGCACCUGCGGUACCGCAUUUGCGGUCUCUCACCCGCUUCUUCGGAAAUCACUAAACAGUCGAAAUUAUGCAUCUGCGAUCACACUUCCGCAUUCGCGGCUCCGCAUGUCCAUGUAGCUGCUUCUGCGGUUUCUGCUCCUCAAUCCCUUUUCCUCUUCUGCAACUAAAACUCCACUUAUGCGGCACCGCACUUGCGGUCCCCAAUCGGCAUGUGCGAAAAUAGCAGAAGCAGCAAAUUCAGUAGCUGCAACAAAAUCCAAACUUCUCUGUCAACCAUCCGAAAUCACCCUGAGGCCCUCGGGACCUCGACCAAAAGUACCAACAUAUUCUAAUACCUUAUUCAAACUUAUUUCGUCCAUCGAAACACCUCGAACAACAUCAAAUCACCCAAAACAGAUUAGAUUCAAGCAAAACUUUCUAAAAUCUUUCGAAUUUCGCUUUUGAUCAAAAACCCAACCAAACCACGUCCAUAUGACCUGAAUUUUGCACACACAUCCCAAAUGACACAACGGAACUACUGCAACUUCUGAACUUCCAUUCUGACCUCUAUAUCAAAAUCUCACAUAUCAACUGAAAAACGCCGAAAUCUAAAUUUCGCCAAUUCAAGUCUAAACCUUCCACAGACUUCCAAAAUGCAUUCCCAUCAUGCUUCUAAGUCCUAAAGCACCUAACGGAGCUGACCAAAUCAUAAAAAUUCCGAUCCGAGAUCAUUUAUAAACAAGUCAAAUCUUGGUCAAACCUUUCGAAUUACAAGGUUCAAGUGCAAAAUCUCAAAACGACCGGUCGGGUCGUUACACACAAGGUUUGAGAUGACCAAAAGAAGAAGUCUUGACCCUAAUAAAAGAAAGGAAGAACAAAAAGAGAAGUUAAACUCUAAGUGUAGAAGCGGAAAAAAGAUGCGGACUGCUCAAGAUAUGAUUGAAGUCACAAGUUUUGCAUGUCCCGCCUUGAUUCGAAUAGCUGAAGAAAAAUGAACCAGCGUUCGCAACUAACGAGCAUCAAGAUUCAUAUCAUAGUUAGCAGGAAGAACCAGCCAAGACUCAAGAUCAAGCUUCAGAAGAUUUAUAAAUAGGAAUCUUGUAACUCGUAUCUGAUAGGCUUAGCUAGUUUAGUUUUUCAUUUUUCAUUUCGGUGUAAUAAAGAGCUCGGCAAGCAGAAACAGCAGUAACAGUAGUGAAAUCACAACUUCCCGGUAGUCCCAGCUACCAAUACUUCCAGAACUACACCGACCUGAUUUCUUUAUAGCCAAGGAUAUGUAAGCAACCUCUGAAGCAAGGUUCGAUCAAACGCUUUCAAAAUGCUUCUCAUGGAGUUUCAAACGAGCAAAAAUCCCUCAUAAUUGCUCAUUUUAUCUUUGCCCGAAGAUCCGUCGUGUUUCCGAGCAUAGAGAGGCAGCUGUGAGUAUGUGAUUUUUGCCCUAUACGAAAUACUCCUAUAAAAUCCCAAGAAAAUAGAUUUUUUCUUAAUUAUUUGCCAUUUUUUAGGAUCUUUCGUAGAAUUUUAUUAAUUGUUUACCUUUCUAUGCACGUUUAAUUUUAUUAAAAAUCACGAAAAAUGCCAAAAAUGUCAUGCAUUGCAUAUUAGGUUUUGUGUUCAUAUUUUAGGAUUAAUUAUUUAAUUAAUUGCUUUUUUAAAAUAAAAAUCACAAAAAAAUAUUGUUCAUUUUUACAGUUUUAGCUUUUAAUAUGGGAAUAGUAAUUUUUUCUUUAUUAAUUUAGGAUUAAUUAAUUGGUAAAUAGUACAAAUAGAUGAUUAGUUUAGUUUUAUAAUUUAGGAUUAAAUUUAGAACUUAAUUAAUUUAUCUAGGUUUUUAAUUAAAGAAAAGGAAAAGAAGAAACAAAAGAAAAAAUGAGUAGGUUUUCUUUUAAUUUGGAAAUUGGGCUAAAUUUGGUUUCAGAAAACCUAUUCCCUCUCCAAACCUGUUUUAGCACAUCCCCUCUAGAAGCCCAAUCCAUCCCUGGCCCAUAUCACUCCUUAAAACACCUAAAUCAUUCUCCAUUCCUUUCCUAAACCUAAGAGACAUCAGAACAUCAGAUAAUGGGGGACUCUCAUCUCAUCUGAAAAAUAUGGCGCAGGAGCUCCCUUCAGCUUCUUCUCGAUUUUUCUUAGAAAAUGAUUAGAUCCUAAGACCCUUAACAAGAAAAAUCGGAGACCCCUACACAACAGAACAACGACGCAUCUGGGAAGAAAAGGGCUUCUUCACCAUUUUUCUUCAACACCCAAAAAAAAAGAAAACGCUGCUCCAUUCCUCAUCUUUACACAAGAGACCCAAAAAUUAGACUUUCUCCCUCAGGCAGGUUUCAAAAUUUUCUUCCUCUGGUUUGGGGGCUUACUCACUGCUGUUGAUUGUUGAAGUUUCUACUGAGCUUCGAUCGAGUUUGUCUCGUUUUUUUUGGUCAGUUUAUUCAAAUUUUCUUGUUCAACCAGAUACUCUUCUAUGAAUUCUGGGUUACAUAUUUGAUGGGAACACACUUCUGUUGAAGAAUAUGGAAAUCAAUGUUGGAUUUCGAUAUUUGCUUAGCUUUAGAUCUCGUUUUAUGUUUCAAGUUUAGUAUGUCAUAAUUAAAGUCUAUUUGUGAUACUUCUGUACUUUGAUGUUUUUUUUCGUUCAAUUGGGAAUUCUCAUUGCAAUAUUUCUGUGUGGUUGUUAAUCAGUCUGCAAAAAUGAGCUCUACUGAUUGUAUUGGCAUAGUGAAGCUGUUAGGCUGAAAGGAAUCUGAUGCCAAAAUUCUUCAAUUUGGUGGUUAUAUGAUGUCUUUUAUCUUUGGUAAUAGUAUUUAAGUACUGACAAAGUUGCUUUGUGGUUAGUUUUAGUAAGCAUGUUGUCAGAUGAUGAUCAAAUCUCUAUGGAUUCCAUAACUCUGUUUCUUUUUGGAUGCAUUGUAAUUGGACAUCUUCUUGAGUGAAUGUUGCAUAUUUAAUGUUGGGUAAGUUGUUUUUGUCAUGCCCAUUUUUUUUGCAUACUCUAAGUUUUGUUCUCCCCAAUUUGAACAUGUCAGAGAAAGAAGACUCGUUAAUGGCGGUAGCAAUCGGGGAGGAGGAUUUGGAUUUAGGUUGGAGUUAGUUGAGAUCCUUGAUGUAUAUCGAAAGCUUUGAGUUUGAAUUUGAAUGGUCACUGUAACACAAUAAUUUCAUGUUCUUAAAAAUUCUUUUAUGCAAUGUUAGACUGCAAUUUUGCACAUAUAUAGAUUCAUAUGAUCUUGAAUGUGUUUGUGUAACUUGUAAAAUCAGGUUGUCACUCCUUUUAAAUUGUUCAAUGUUAGCUACAAUUUUGGCAUGGUGAAACUAUAUUGGUUGUUAAGUUUACUUCUUCCA
rnacentral:lncRNA from 1 species